rnacentral:lncRNA from 1 species
CCCCCCCCCCCCCCAGUAUGUAGUGAGGUGUGCUUUUUGUAGCCGGGAAGUAGAGUUCGCGCCGCUUAAUUAACCCAUAUGCUGGCUAAAUAUGCUUAAUUUAGCCAUGCUUAGUUGCCUACUCGUAUAGAUAUUGAAAGUACCCCUGUGUUUUUGAUCGACUUGUUACUGCAAUAAAAUGGACAUCUUGUUCAGUACAUCACUACCUUACUGUUUAUGUAUUUGUUGUUGCUGUACCGAUCAUUUCAUGCUCCUAGUCCUAUAUACUAUGUUGAAAUAGACUUUUGGUGCUCGCUUCACUUGGUUAAUUAAUUUGCAUCUGGGAGGAGGGAUUGUGAACAGACUAUCCAAUUUCAUCUCCUAUAACUGUGUUGAGAAAACUUUUGGUCCUCGCUUCACUUGUUUAAUAUGCAUCUGGGAAGAGUCAACAUGCUAUCAAUUUCAGAUUUUUUUUUUCUUUCACAAAUCUUCUCUCAGCAGAUCAGGCUACUAUAACCGCUGUUUUUUUUUCUUUCUGGAAGAUACGAUCACUUUUGUAAUUUCAAUGUUUUAUUAUCCAACUUGCUAGCUAGCUAGUAGCCUCGUAAGAUUCUAGAUAUGAUGGAUGCCAUUCUUUUGAGCUUAUUUAUGCAUUCAGUUAUAUGGGUGUUCAUGCUACGAUAUGCAUAUAGCUAGGCAUAUGCUCCACUCGAUCGUAUAUAUACAUCUGCCCACAUCCAUACUUCUGCAUGCCUAACACUUGAAUAUGUAGCUCCUGAAAAAAAAAGAUAAAAUAUCAGCGCCAUACGCAACUCAUAAACAUAUUAAUCUUUUAGUGAAUGGCUAUUAUAUAGAUGAAAAUAAGCGCCACAGGCAACAAUUGAUCAAUGGGUGGGAUGUUUAUGUGUACCCAUGGAGUGUGCGACUCCGCACUUGGGUUCCAGCACUGGGAUUAUGUAUGUAUUGCUCUGAUCGGAAUGAUUAGCCAAGUAAUAGCUCGGAUCAUUGCAUUUUUUUGCCAUUUUUGGGUCCGUUACUAUUGUAUAAUUUUGACCGACGAAGAGUCAAAGGGUAAUCCAGCCAGUGCAUGUUAACUAAAAUGUCAUGAAAAAAAUGUUCUGAUAUACCUCCGUUCUAAAAUUAUUGUCUUAACUUUAUCUAAAAAUAAAUGUAUCAAAAUACUAAAACAUGACUAGAUGCAUUCAUAUCUAGAUAAAUCUAAGACGAGAAUUUUUGGACGGAGUGAGUAAUAAACUACUUUAGCUCUUACAUGCCUGAGUGCUCCCAGAUGGUCACCUUGUGUAUUUUACUUUCGAGCUAUACAUUACGAUAUCAUGCUGUGUAGCUAACCUAAUUACUUAUCUAUUCUCAGUUACAUCGUUUUAUUGCUAUGAUUAGAACAUGAGCAUAUGCCACACUAUUCUACUCCCAUGCAUGCAGCAUAAUGAUUGCUGAACGCCUGGUGCUUGAAUAUAUAUAGCUCCGGGAGAAAAUAUGAGGGAAACCAGCAGCGUAGGAAUCGUAAUACAUACUGUAGUUAAUACUAGUUAACUUAUACACUAAGUGCAUGAAUUUGGGGUAUUCAGUUUUCUCGCAACUCCCUCCACAAACUAAUAUAAGAGUAUUUAAAACACUGCUUUAAUAAUCUAAAUACUCAUAUAUUAAUUUAUAGAGGGAGUACCACUGAAUGUUUAAGUUGACUUGAUACACGCGUAUCCAAAGUGACAAAUAUAUAUAUAUAUAUAUNNNNNNNNNNNNNNNNNNNNNNNNNNNNNNNNNNNNNNNNNNNNNNNNNNNNNNNNNNNNNNNNNNNNNNNNNNNNNNNNNNNNNNNNNNNNNNNNNNNNNNNNNNNNNNNNNNNNNNNNNNNNNNNNNNNNNNNNNNNNNNNNNNNNNNNNNNNNNNNNNNNNNNNNNNNNNNNNNNNNNNNNNNNNNNNNNNNNNNNNNNNNNNNNNNNNNNNNNNNNNNNNNNNNNNNNNNNNNNNNNNNNNNNNNNNNNNNNNNNNNNNNNNNNNNNNNNNNNNNNNNNNNNNNNNNAUAUAUAUAUAUAUAUAAGGAAAGUCUAUUCAUCAUUCAGGAUGCAGAAUAAGUUAUGCUUCAGCCGAGGUAAUCUUACGAUCAUUUCAUAAAUAAAUUACAUUUGAAAUGCAAAUAGUUACAUUUAUAUUGAUUCAAUACAUAAAACAAAAAUAUAGGUCAUAAGACCAGAAAAAUGUUAUUUUAUGUAUAUUUUACACUAUGUUUUUGUGUUUGUAAUUUUACGUGACAUAAAAUAUUUUUUAAGGUGACUAUAUAUUUUCUUACGGUCUCUUUUUUAUGUAUGAAAUAAUUCAAAAAUUACAUAACGUAAAAUUACGAUGCAUUGAUAUAAAAAUAGAGGGGGUGAAGAAUAACUAUUCGUCACCCAUGGUGACGAAUAAUUGGUUGUAGUUACCCCCUAGCUAUUUGCCCUUCACGUGUACCCGUGUACCACCAAGUGAACCACGAAGAUGAAUAAGGAUUAACGGGUGUUUAGGAUCCAAUAGUUAGCAACUAAUUUUAUUUUUAUAAUAUUAAAAUCCAGCAAGCUACCUGGUUGUUCAACCGCCUCCUUAUUUUCUGCCAAGGUACAUCGAACAAACUGCUUAUCAGAUAAGCACAUGAGUGUGACGUUGAUUUUUCUUUUGUUUGUUGAAUACAAGAAAGUUAGUCUAGGUACGUACAUUAUUAUUUUCUUUUGAGAAUCAGGUCCGUACAUAGUUUUUGUGAGAAAUAGGUAGUAUGGUCCUCACAGAAAAAGGUAGUAUGGAGUACAUAGUGUGAACUUUAUAACUUAUUUUUUAGAUUUCCCAUGAUAUGGUACAAAACAUAUUGCUUUUUUUAAAUAACAUGGAUUAGACUCAUGUAUUGUUUGAGUAUGUGAAGUAUUCACAUAAAAGAAACAUGGAGUAUGGUGUAUGGUGUAUGGAGUAUGGAGUAUGUAGUAUAGUUCUUUUUUUUAAGUAAAGAACACACGUAGAUACUCUUGUAGUAUGGAGUAUGUUUACAAAAUAAAAUAAAAUUGAGGUCAGUAUAUUUUACAAGUUGUAGUAUGGAGUAUGUAUAUAUCCUUUUUGAAAUGGCAGUAUAUAACAUUUUUCUUCUAAAAAGAAACAUGCAUACAUACUUUGCUUUGGACCUAAAUAUUAAGUUUGCAUCUAUGUACAUAAUUCUAAAGCGUUUGCCUGAGUAUAUUUUUGUAAGCUUGCCAGAGUAUGUAGAAUAUAUAGUCUUCUCGGAGAGAGUAUAAUCUUCGGAAAUAUUUAUUUACUUUUCUUUGGAAAUUGUAAGAAGGAUAUUACUUGUAGUGAGUACAAAGAGUUGAGACAUUCCAUACUACAAGAGUAUAUGAUGCAUAUGUGAUCGUAUGCAUGCAUCAGAUAUAGGGAGUUAGCAAGCAUUGAUCGUGGCCACAUGCAUCAGACAUGCAUGCAUGUUGCUACGGCCUUGUUCUCGGGCAGAAGGUUUACAAUCAGCCAUGCGUCUGUCCUGAACAUCGACAGGACCAUGCCAUAACCAAACUGUUAUACGCACUCCAUGUCUUAGCACCGUUGCCUAAGAAAUGGAUUGUUGGCUUUUGAACGUGCGUAUGCAGCUGUACAGGCGUGCCUACGUGAUUCUUGCUUUGGUCGGCUACUUGACGGAACUUGUGUAACUAGUGACACGAAUAAAACUGAUCGAUGGAUUUGAUGGCUAAAGGCCCGUGUCAAGCCUUUGCUUUGUAUUGCUUUUCGUUUUUCUAGUGGUACAAUCAGCACCCCUAGGGUGUCUUUUAUACACGUCCACAAGGGACUAUGGAAAUAGACUAGGACUAGGAAUCCUAAUACUACUAGGACUCGGUUUGGCUUUCUUUCCUAAUCCUAAAGAAACAACAUGAUUAACUUCUACAUUCACCUCCUUAAUCUUGUUGCUUGACUUCACUUCUUGCACUCCGACUUUCCUCCUCAUCUCGAUGAACUUCUGUCGACCGAGGGACUUGGUGAAAAUAUCGGCAAGUUGGUCUUUCGUGUUCACAUGUUGAACCUCGAUCAACCCUUCUUCAAUGCACUCCCAGAUAUGGUGGAACCGGGUAUCUAUGUGCUUGCUCCUUUCGUGAUGAACCGGAUUUUUGCACAACGAGAUUGCAGCUUGGUUAUCGAUCUUCAGUGACACCUUCUGCACCUCCCGCUUUGCAAGAAUAGCUAGGAGUCUUCUCAGCCACACUGCUUGACAAGCCGCCGUGCUUGCCGCUAUGUAUUCUGCCUCGCAUGAAGACAGUGCCACCACCUUUUGCUUCUGAGAAUUCCAGCUAAUCGGAUUCGGGCCAAGGUAGAAAACCAUGCCCGUUGUGCUCUUUCGGUCAUCAACAUCACCUGCCAUGUCACUAUUUGAAUAUCCACGAAGGAUCAAUCCUUCCUUUCCCUUUCUGUACGUGCAACCAAGAUUAAUGAUGCCUUUCACAUAGCGCAAGAUUUGAUUGACCGUGCUCAUGUGCUCGGUUGUCGGAUUCUCCAUGAAACGACUCACGAUCCCGACUGAAUAAGCCAAGUCAGGUCGGGUAUGCACCCAAUAUCUUAGGGUGCCCACAACGCUUCGAUACAUUGUGGUGUCCACAAGCGGAUUUGAGCUAUGCUUGCUCAACUUGUGACAUUGAUCCAUUGGAACUUGUGCCUCGUAGCAAUCUGACAUGCCACACUUCUCCAAUAACUUGACCUCAUAAGCCGAUUGACAUAGGGAAAUAUCUCCGGAGCUUUGCUUCACUUCGAUGCCCAAGUAAUAGCUGAGUAAUCCCAUAUUGCUCAUGCUAAACUUGUUCUUCAUUUGCGCCUUGAAACGUUCAAUUUCUUGUACGCUAUCUCCGGUGAUAAUCAGAUUGUCGACAUAAACUCCAACUAGCAGGUUUGAGCCUUUGGAGUUCUUUGUAUAGACUGCGUGCUCGAGGGGACAUCUCUUGAACCCGAGCGAGACCAGACUUCGGUCUAACUUUGAGUUCCAAGCUCUUGGCGCUUGCUUCAACCCGUAAAGUGCCUUCUUGAGCUUGUAAACUUUCCCUUCUUCGCCUUUCUUCUCGUAGCCGAGGGGUUGUUACACGUACACUUCUUCUGUGAGAUCGCCGUUGAGGAAAGCGGAUUUAACAUCCAUAUGAUGAACCUUCCAAUCCUCUUGUGCUGCCAAAGCUAGGAGCACUCUCACCGUCUCGAUUCGAGCAACCGGUGCAAACACCUCAUCAUAGUCAACUCCUUGACGUUGUACGUAGCCCUUUGCAACGAGUCUUGCCUUGUACUUCACAAUGGCACCUUGUGUGUCCUUCUUUAACUUGUAAACCCACUUCAAACCUAUAGCCUUUUGGUUUGGAGGACGGGUUACCAAGGUCCACGUGCCAUUGCUCUCAAUUGCCUUCUUUCCUCAUCCAUGGCGUGCGUCCAGCUAGGACUUUUGCUCGCCUCUACGAAGUUCGCCGGCUCCUCAACUCCGAAAAGACAUAGUCCGGAGUAUUCGAGCGUAAUUGGCUUUGUGUACUUGUAGACUUUCUUGAGGGUCUUGUAGCGACGAGGCCCUGAGGAAUCCGUUGUGGCUUGCGAAGGAGGUGACAUAAAUUGUGUCGAUGUUGAUGCACUUGAGGAAGAUGGCUGAGUCUUGGGCGUGUUAUCGACAUCCGCGUCGUCGGCGUAGUCGUCGUGAUCAUGAUCAUCAUCUUGAUUGUCAUCAUCACUAUGCGCCUCAUAGUCGAUGUUGUCGUCGAGAUCUCCACCCGUGUCGUGCGCGGCGUUGUCGCUAUCUCCUUGUGACCUAUGCACGUCGUCGUCGGUGUUGGCACCAUGAUGAUCACUACCAUUGUGGUCACCUUGGUUGGGUGUCUUAUCAACCACCUGGACAUACUCCCCUGCAUCAUCAUCAGUUGGAAAUUCAACCGUGAAUAUGUUACCGUUUGGAGCAUCGUCGGGUGCAGCGCUCCAAUUCCACGCUUGGUUUUCUUCAAACAUGACGUCGCGUGAAAUCCGUAGACGCUUGGUUUGUGGAUUGUAGAAGCGGUAUGCCUUGGUGCCGGAACUCCUCUCGUAUCCGAUGAACACCAUCUUGGUGCUACGAUCGGCAAGCUUUGAGAGAUGCAGCUCCGCCGUCUUCACAUGUGCCACACACCCGAACGUCCGUAGAUGAGACACAUUCGGCUUACGUCCGUAAAUUGCUUCAUACGGAGUCUUGCCGACCACCGCCUUCGUUGGAGCCCGGUUGAGAAGAUAGACCGCCGUCGAAACAGCUUCUCCCCAAAAAGUCCCCGGCAGGUUUGAGUAAACUCCUUGCCAUGUCAACGACUAUUCGAUUGCGCCUUUCAACGACCCGUUCUGCUGCGGCGUGUAAGGUGCCGUGAGGAACCUUUUUAUGCCAAUCUUCUCGCAGUAAUUGUUGAAUUCAUUCGACGUAAAUUCUCCGUCGCGACCUGUCCAUAGAGCGCGAACCUUCAACUUGUGUUCCAUCUCCGUUGCAGCCUUCAUCUUCUUGAACGCUUCAAACGCCUCAUCUUUAGAUCGUAGGAGAACGACCCACAUAUAUCUCGAGUAGUCGUCUACCACGAGGAAGAAAUACUUCUUUCCCGCGUGAGUUGCUGGGGUGAUAGGGCCACAUAGAUCACCAUGGAGCAGCUCGAGUGCAUCACUUGCACGAUAGGUAGACUGAGCAGGGAACGGCCUGCGGUGCUGUUUUCCAACCAAGUACCCGUCACAUACUCGAUCAACAUGGUCGAUAACUGGCAUCCCGGAUACCAUCUCCAUCUUUGACAUCUUCUUCAAGGCGUAGAAGUUAACGUGUCCAAAUCUAGCAUGCCAUAACCACGAAUCAUCAUCACUCUUGGCAAGCCAACACUCCGCUUGAGAUUGAUCAAGGUUGAGGAUAUAGAGCCUAUUCCGUGUGCGAUUAACACGAGCUAGCACGUUUCGGAGGUUGUCGAAGAUCAUCAUCACUCCGCUCUCUAUAUCCACCUUGCAUCCAUUCUCGUCAAGCUUCCCGAUAGAGAUGAUGUUGUUGCGAAGCCGUGGGAUGUAGUACACUCCGGUGAGUAUGCGAUGUUCGCCUGUGAGACCCUCGAAGAGGACAGAUCCUUACCCACAAAUAUCCACAUUUGAACCAUCACCAAACUUGACCGAGCCUUCAACAUCAUAUUCCAGCUCGAGAAAUUUCUCCUUGCAACCCUUCAUGUGGUUACUGGCACCCGUGUCGAGAUACCACGACACGUUGUGAUCCCCGGAUAACAUAGGUGUCACAUUCUUCUCAUGAAGUAGCGCCUUCCGGCUUGGUUUCACGUCCACUGUUUCAGCGAGAUCACAAACUUCGGCCAUCAGAAGACCUGGACCUUCGUCUUCCUCCUUUGCCAAAUUUGCCUUGAUCUCCCGCUUGUCAGGCUCCGGACAAUUCUUUGCAAAGUGACCCAUCUCGUUGCAGUUAUAGCACUUGACCUCGGACAUAUCCAAGUUCCGUUGCUUCUGCCCUUUAGAUCGGUCUGCCUUACCACGACCUUGUGGUUUGCCUUUUCCUUUGCCUUCUCCGGUUUGUCCGCCGCGCGUUGCGUUGCUUGAGCCUUCGUUGCCAUCACGCCUUCCUUUGCUACUUGGGGUCUCCCAAUCUGCACGCGAGUACAUGAGUUGGUCACUACCUCCUCCGUUGCCUUUUCGACAGCCACGAGCAUUCUCUUCCCACGUCCACAAGCGUCCGAUCGCCUCCGUUAUGGUCAUGUUGUCGAUGUCGUAAAGCUGAUCGAGCGUGCCGAUGAUGUACGUGAAUUUGUCAGUCACUGAACUGAAAAAUUUCUCCACAAUCUCGGUCUCCUCGAGCUUAGCACCAAGCGUGCGGAUCUCUCCCACCAAAGUAGUAAGACGCAUGGCAUAGUCAUUCACCGAUUCAGUUUCCUCCAUCUACAACUUGUGAAAUUGGCGCUUCAGCACUUGUGCCCGAGCCUUGGUGACGCAAUAUUCUCCGAUCCUCAUCUCCUUGUGUGUGUUCCACGCCUCUCUUGCCGUCUCAAACUCCGCCAAUGUCAUCAGCACGGAAUCCGGCACAGACUGGGCUAUGGCGGCCAUGGCACCUUCGUCGCGCUCCUCGUCGACGUCGUCGUCCGUGAUGGCCUCCCACACUCGAAGGGAUCGAAGAAUAAUCUUCAUCUUCACCACCCACACGCCGUAGUUGGCGUCGGUGAGCAUCGGGUACUGGAUGGGGAUGUUGUGAUGCGCCUGGACGUUGGCGCCGCUCGUUCCUCCACCACUGGUUGCUGACUUGACGCCCUUCUUCACCUUGUCGCCAUUCUUGUUUGCCUUGGCACUGCCGCUGCCGGACUUGAUCGACUCAGCAUCACUGUCCGUCAUCGUAGAUCGUAGAUCGUCGAGGCUCUGAUACCAAUUGUUGGCAUUUGAACAUGCGUAUGCAGCUGUACAGGCGUGCCUACGUGAUUCUUGCUUCGUCCGGCUACUUGACAGAACUUGCGUAACUAGCGACACGAAUAAAACUGAUUGAUGGAUUUGAUGGCUAAAGGCCCGUGUCGAGCCUUAGCUUUGUAUUGCUUUUCGUUUUUCUAGUGGUACAAUCAACACCCCGAGGGUGUCUUUUAUACACGUCCACAAGGGACUAUGGAAAUAGACUAGGACUAGGAAUCCUAAUACUAUUAGGACUCGCUUUGGCUUUCUUUCCUAAUCCUAAAGAAACAACAUGAUUAACUUCUACAUGGAUUAAUAGAGUUUUGGUGGCGCCUAAUGUGAGUAAUACUCCCUCCAUCACAAAAUAAGUGUCUCAACUUUAUACUAGUUAUAGUAUAAAAUUGUACUGAAUUCGAGAUAUUUAUUUUGGGACUGAAGGAGUAGAAAUCUAAGGAGAUUUCAGAAAGAUUUCCUCAAGCAUGGUCAUAUGUGCAGAUAGAUCAGUAGUUCUCUGAUGCACCCACUAGUUUAUUAAAUAUAUUUUACGACUGAGUUUAGAGAACACAUUGAUUUGCCAUAAUCUGAAUAGAAUAUACAACUUGUUGAUUGUGUGCAGAUAUACUUACUUAGAGUAUUAGCCAGAAAUCCAGAAGAGCAAUGGCAUUUGAAUUUUUAUCUCGCAAAAUAAAGCAUUUGAAUUUACUGCAUUUAAUCAGCAUGUGCUUCCUUUCUAUUGUGGAGAUGGCCGUUUUACCUAUGUACUCCCUUCAUCUGAAAUACUUAUCAUAGAAAUGGAUGUAUAUUGUUGGAAAUAUGAGCAAUUUACCAUAGAAUUUUAUUCAAAGGAAACUUAGGAUAAACAUAAUCAACAUAAUAAAGAUGAAAGAAUACAUGCAAUAUAGAGAUGAGACGACAAAAGACAUGUGCACAUAUGAUCUAAAAAGAACAUAUGUGUAACCAUUCUAUAUACAGAAGGUAUCAUAUGGAGUGAUGAGCAGAAAUGGAACAUAUCUAGAAGUGAAACUAUAGCAAGAAGUUGCGGUAGGAACUCAAAGAAAAAGAACAUGAGUACGUACUGAGUUGCAGCAGCAGUAGGGGAUGUCUUGGCGUUGUCGUUGACCAUGUUACCGAAGAGGUGGUCGACGUCGGGAAAGUAGUCGUCGUCCGGGAAGAGAUCGUCGGUGUCCGUGAUGGAAGCCAGUAGUCGCGCUGAGCGCUCCCCAAAAACCUUAUCGCCCUUCUCCCGUACAGGAGUCGAAGAGACAGAGUUUCAGAGGCUUACUGUCCCGACCUAUGAUGCACGCCGCAAGUCGGGAUGGGGAAGAACGUAGCAGCAGCACAGAGAAAGGAGCCGGUGGCAAGAGGAAGUUAUGAUGCGUUGUCUCUGGAGAGGAGCGGCCUCUCUUUUAUAGGCGCAAGAGAAGGAGGCGAGAGGCCAGCGACAAGAGCCGAAAAGAGCGAGGGAGACGAAACGAACAGACAGCAGCCGAAGAGUGCAGCGUUCGCUUUCAAUAUCCACUACAGCAAAAAUGUUCAGCUUCUCCGAGUGACCUUUCGUAUACCAGUCGUGCGUGGCAAAAAUUUAGUUCGACUCGGCUCAUUCCCGCAACCCGUCGUGACGAGGCGAGGCGGGCGGCGGAGGAGGAGUUGCGCGCAUGUAUGCGUCUCUUGUUCUCAAGCUCAUACAUGUGUGGAAACAUCCUCCCUUAUAAGGACGCCCAACUCCCACUAAACUACCAAUGUGGGACUAAACAUUUACACCUCUUGCCUUGCACAAAUGGGCUGCCUGGACCUCUAGGAUUUAUUAGGAAUUUUCUGAAAUUAUAUAUUGGGCUGGUCCAAAAGUAGACAAAAAUUCGAGCAAUCCCCCACCAGAUCUGAGAGGCACACAAAUUUUGCCUUUGGUUCCAAAACACUGUUUUAUAUACCGAUAAUGCAAUGGAGACUAUUAAGUUGAACUUCCACCUAGAACUCUAUGCUACACUAGUAAGCAACAUCAACAGUGGACUAGGCCUUGAACUGCAAGUUUUUUGCGAAUCUAGCUUCACACACAUCCUUGACCGAUACUAGGCUACCGCGGGACUUCCCCGCGGAUGGAGCUUAUGCAUCAUACUCCGAGACCUUUCAUGAGUGUACUAGAGAGCACCCUACGCUCAUAGAUUGCGAUGUUUCACAAUCCGACUCAUAUAGGUAUGUUCUUCAAAAGAUGUUCUGCAGGACAACAUCUCUGCUUCAAUAAGUCACUUAGAACAUAUUAAGAUGUAUAUCAACCUGCCAUGCAGUUUAAGAAAGUAUUGCAUCUUCAUGGAGUGGUAUUAUCAAUGAUAAGGACACUUUCCUCUCAGCUGACCAACAACUUGUAUUCCACAUCUAAUUCAGGGGAUCUCCGAUCACAAAGAAUAGGUUACCACUGUGAACAACUCAAAUUGUGGGUCUCAUACCCAUCUCCCUCGAUGCAUUAUCUAUCACAUUACAUGAUAGACCCUUAGUAAAAGGAUCUGCCUGAUUUUUAGAUGUUUUAAUAUAAUCCAAUGCAAUAACUCUGGAGUAUCUCAUUUUCCUAACAAAUUUUAACCUUCUCUGAAUGUGUCUUGAUGACUUCAUGUUAUCCUUUGAACUGCUCACUUUCGUGAUGACAGUUUGAUUGUCGCAGUUCAUAAGAAUACCUGGUACAGGUUUCUCGACAACCGACAAGUCACUCAAGAGCCGGUGGAGCCAAUCUGCUUCGACCGUAGCUGUAUAUACUGAUGUGAGUUCUGCUUCCAUUGUUGACCUUGUUAAGAGCGUUUGCUUGCAACACUUCCAAGAAACAGAGCCACCUCCAUGAGUGAAUACAUAUCCGCUUGUGGCCUUUAUCUCAUCAGCAUCAGAGAUCCAGUUUGAAUCACUAUACCUUCAAGCACCUUUGGGUGUCGAGUAUAACGAAUUCCAUAAUUUGCACUGCCUUUCAAAUAAUGCAAAACUCUCUCUAGAUCUUUCCAAUGCACAUCUCCUAGUUUUGAGACAAACCGACUCAGUUUGCUAACAGCAAAAGAGAUGUCAGGUCUUGUAUCAUUGGCUAAGUACAUAAGCGAGCCAAUAUUCUGAGAAUAUUUCAAUUGGUCUCUAGCAAUUCUUUGAUUCUUUCGAAGCAGCACGCUCGCAUCAUAUGGUGUGGGAGAGGACUUGAAGUCACUAUACCCAAAGAGACUCAAGAUCUUUUCCACAUAGUGAGAUUGAAGCAACGUAAUCCCACCAUCUUCGUCUCUCAACAACUUGAUGUUCAGAAUGACAUCAGCCACUCCUAAAUCCUUCAUCUCAAAAUAGUGAGAUAGGAAAUCCUUGACCUCUUUAAUAACAUUCAGAUUUGUUCUGAAAAUCAGUAUGUCAUCAACAUACAAGCAAAGGAUAACUCCCUCGCCCCCACCAUGGCGAUAGUACAUACAUUUAUCAGCUUUGUUUACAACAAAGCCUGCAGUUGUUAGAGUUGUGUCAAACUUCUCAUGCCACUGCUUGGGUGCUUGCUUAAGUCCAUAUAAAGACUUCAGCAACUUGCAUACUUUUCCUUCCUGACCAUCUACUACAAACCCAUCUGGUUGUUCCAUGUAAAUUUCCUCAUCCGACUCUCCAUUUAGGAAAGCAGUCUUAACAUCCAUUUGAUGAACGAGAAGACCAUGUGAGGCGGCUAGUGAAAGUAGUACUCGAAUAGUGGUCAGUCGAGCCAUGGGUGAGUAAGUAUCAAAGAAGUCUUCACCUUCCUUUUGGGUAUAACCCUUAGCCACGAGCCGUGCCUUGUACUUUUCGAUAGUACCAUCAGGCCUAAGCUUCUUCUUGAAUACCCAUUUGCAUCCUAUAGGUUUGCACCCAUAAGGACGAUCAGUGAUCUCCCAAGUUUCAUUUGCCAAGAUGGAAUCCAUCUCACUACAGACUGCUUCCUUCCAGUAGUCAACAUCUUCAAACACAUAGGCCUCUGAAAUAGAACUGGGAGUAUCAUCUAUGAGGUACACAAGAAAAUCAUCACCAAAGGACUUUGCAGUCCUCUCUCUCUUGCUCCUGGUAGGAAUUCAUUGUUCUCCUCCACAAUAUUUUCAAAGUGUUCCAUCAAAAUGAUAGGUUCAGUAAUUGUAACUAAUUCAUGGUUUGAUGAAUUAUGCAUCUCCUGAUUAGAUGAGGUAGCUAUAUCCUUCAUGGGAAAGAUAUCUUCGAAGAAAGUCGCAUCAUUCGACUCCAUGAUUGUACCGACAUGCAUGUGAGAUACCUCAGAUUUUACAACCGAGAAUCUAUAUCCAAUGCUAUGAAAAGCAUAUCCCAGAAAAACACAAUCCAUAGCUUUUGGUCCUAGCUUGCGCUUCUUUGGGAUUGGCACAUUGACUUUCGCCAAACAACCCCAGGUUCAUAGAUAAGAGAGUUUUAACCUUUUAUUUUCCCAUUCCUCGAAUGGAGUUAUCUCUUUGUUCUUUGUGGGAACUCGGUUUAGUACAUGACAUGCAGCCAAUAUCGUCUCCCCCACCAUGCCUUGGAGAGACCCGAUGUGUCUAACAUGGCAUUAACCAAAUCAGUUAGAGUACGGUUCCUUCUUUCGACUAUACCAUUUGAUUGAGGUGAAUAGGGAGGUGUCCUAUCAUGGAUUAUACCACGUUCCGCACAGAAAGAAUCAAAUUCAUUUGAGAAAUACUCUCCACCACGAUCGGACCUAAGCCCCUUGAUCUUUCGAUCAAGUUGUUUUUUUGCUUCAGCUUUAUAGAUCUUGAAAAAGUUCAAAGCCUCAUCCUUAGAUUUCAGAAGAUACACUCUGCAGUAUCUGGUGGAGUCAUCAAUUAGUGUCAUGAAAUAUUUAUUUCCACCUUUUGUCAAAAUACCAUUCAUUUCACAUAGAUCUGAAUGUAUGAGCUCUAGUGGUGCAAGAUUUCUCGUUUCGGCAGUCGUGUGAGACUUACGAGGUUGUUUGGCUUGCACACAAACUUGACACUUAGAUCCCUUGAUAGUGGUGAAGCUAGGGAUUAAGUUCAAUUUGACUAGUCGCGACAUGCAACCAAAAUUGACAUGACAGAGACGUGAAUGCCACACAUUUGAUUCACUAUUGUUGUAAACAUGAUUAACUACUUUAUUGCAAACGUCUGCCAAGGAUAAAUGGAACAGGCCUCCUCACUCGUAGCCUUUACCAACAAAAGUUCCAUACUUGGAUAUUACAAAUUUAUUACUCUAAAAGACAAGCUUGUAGCCAUCUAUACACAAAAGAGAUCCACUAACAAGAUUUUUAUUCACGGAGGGGACAUAAUGCACGUUCUUCAGCCGCACGACCUUCCCCGAAGUAAACUUCAGAUCGACCGUGCCAACACCACGAAAGAAGCACUUGAACCAUUGCCCAUCAGCACGGUGGAAGUCCCUGCAGACUAAUAAGAUGAAAACAUGGAAAUAUCACCGCAUACAUGCACAUUAGCACCCGUGUCAAUCAACCAAUCGGGAAAAUGACAUCGUGAAAGGAUAGUGGGCGAUAUACCAUACCCAGCAUCCUCCACGUCACUGUCACCAAUGACAACAUUAGCGGAUGAAAGAUCGAUAUGGUUGACUAGAGGGGGGGGGGGGGAAUAGACAACGACCACUUUUUAAAUUAACCUUAGCAAGUUAAGGUAANAACAAGUUUGAUUGGCUAGGGAGAGAGAUCGGGCACUUUUGAGCUUAGGGAGCAACAAUGAAGCUUGAGAGGGUGAGAGAUAAGGUUCCACAGCUAGAAGAACCCUUUAUAUAGUGGGGGGGGGGGGGAAAUCCAACCGUUUUCCCACUCUCUCCCCGAGCUCCAACGGUAUACUACCGCUGACCAGGGGCGGUACUACCGCUGACCCCAGCGGUACUACCGCUGGUCCCAGCGGUACUACCGCUGGGCCCUUGGUAGUGCAAAAGCACUACCACCGCCAAGAAAGUCUUCGCAAAAAGGUCCGUCCACGAACAACCGCUAGGCAGGCGGUACUAAGCUCCUGGAGCGGUACUACCGCUAACCAGGGGCGGUACUACCGCCAGCCAGCGGUACUACCGCUGGCUGCAGCGGUACUACCGCUAGCAUUCCAGCGGUACUACCGCUGGGGACCAUUUUGCAAGGAGGAAAGAAACACAGUGGCGGGGGCCGCUCCAAAGAUGAAGGUAAGGGAAAAUAUGUGAAGUGUGCGUGUGCAAAUAUAGAUUCCACCCAAACCUUUCCACUACGGUUCCCCUCUUAAUAGUACGGCUUUCCUAUGACUCAAAUAAAGAGAAUCAUAGAGAGCGCCGUGCUUCCGUUCCAUGAAUGAGGAGGUGAGUCGUCUUGUGUCGUUGACGUGUGUUAUCUGAAACCUUAACACACACGGUUAGUCCUUUACGGUACUGUCAUCAAUCACCAAAAUUACUUAGGCAUAAACUAUGCCCCAACAAUCUCCCCCUUUUUGGUGGAUUGAUGACAAUACCGGAUUUGCACAGAGAAUAAUAUGAGAACAAAAAGAUAGAGAAAUAUGACAAUACGGGGCAUAUGACUCACAGCAUAUGAUGGAAAUAAAUCUCACAUAAGUUCAUGUCUCACCAACGAUAGCAAACUAGAAGCAAACCAAGUUCGAAGCAAACCACAAAAGAAAGCAAAGCAAAGCAAAGUUCAACUCUGAAAGCAAAUAAAUCCAGCUCCUAGACUCUCUCCCCCUUUGGCAGAAGACACCAAAAAGGGGCACACCUAACGCCACAGGUAGUUACUCCUCAUCCUUAGCAUCGCCAGACUCGUCGGUACCCUCCUGAUCGUCCUGCUCCUCCUCUUCCUCCUCAGCGCCAGACCACUGGUAACCUUGAGCCUGCAUCCAAGUAGCCUCUUGAGUGAUGUCGUCCUCUGAUCCGCUGGAGAUUUCAACAUCAAGAGUCCUUAGGACACGCUUGUGCCUCUGGCGGUUCUCCUUCUAAGCCACGUGCGCCUGGUACUCGCCCCUGGCCUGCAUACAGAAUAGGGUCUUCAUCUUAUCCUGCAGUUUGAUGGCCCAAGAUGGCAUGGCAGAAGAGCGGGACUGAGAGGCGGUUCCUCUAUCAGCAGCAGUCUCUAUGUCAGUAUCCAUGUGCUGAGAUGAAGUAGAUGGGUUGGCCCAUUUAUCCUUGACGCGAAGCUUGACAGGGUCGUGCACAAUGUAGUCAGACUGAAUGUAGAGCUCCUCCCGCGGAUAAGUAUCUUGCCACUUCUGACGAAUAUAAGCGAACAGAUAGGGCCCGUAGAUGGGAACCUUACGCAUUAUGAUGCAGUUCUAGAGCUCCGUGAACAUCACAUCAGAAAUAUCAAGAGGGGCAGACUCCUUAGUCAUAGCCUCCUCACAGAGCAGCAACAUCUCAGCCAAAGAGCCAUGAACCUCGUCGAAGUUACCAAUGCGAGGGAAGAGGGUGUUGCGGAAGAUCCGAUGCAUGAUGUCCAAAUGCUUGGGAAGCACACCCUUCCUCACAUAGAGUUGCUGCAGUCUGUCCUUGGCUGGAGGCCUAUCAGUGGGGGCUGCAGCAUGAGGACGCGACCCAAGUGGAGUGUCAGCUCCCUGGCACUCAACCUUGAGGAAUGCCAUGAAUUCACGCCAGGUACCUGUCAUCUUCUGAGUCCCAGUCAUCCAUACCAUAGAGCGCUCUUCAUCAGGAGAGAAGUGGACCGUGACAUAGAACUGGGCAACAACAGUGGGGUCAAAAUCUGUCUUGAAAGUGAUGAUGUCCUUGAUGCCCAGUUUGUCAAUCAGAGAGAGGGCAUCACGAAAAUAGUCCAGGUUCCGCUGAAGAUGAGCAAGGUCAAUCCACUGAACGGGGACAUAGUUCUUCUUGAAAUGCAUGACAAUAUCACGGUAGAUCCUGCAGUGAUCCUUUGCCCAAACAUGGUCAACAUUCUUGAUCACAGCCUUCUCUUUGAGAUAAUGGUUCUGAGUGCGGAACCGCAGAAAGUCCUUGGGGGGCAUUGUGCGGACAUUGAUCCCCUUGUCCUUGUUCGCGGUCUUCUUGAAGGACUGCUUUUUGGGUUGCAGACCUGAAGUGGCAGAACCCUCUGGAGCCUCUGGGUUGCGAUACUGCUUUGACUGUGUGUCCCGUGGGGGGUACGAACGGCGAGAACUACCUGUGACACAAAACACACAGCAAAAAUAAGCGACAAAAAGAGUCAAGGCAAUGAACUAGAAAAGGCAGAAAAAUAAACACUCAUUGCCAAGCACAUGAAAAGAAUGCACAGUGAAUAGUCCUGGCGGUAGUACCGCUACCCCUGGCGGUAGUACCACUGGGGUCCUAGCGGUAGUAUCGCUACCCCUGGCGGUAGUAACGCUGGGGUCCUAGCGGUAGUACCGCUACCCCUGGCGGUAGUACCGCUGGGGUUUGACUUUCAGAUCUGACAGAUAAAAUAGACAUCAUGGAUAGGGCUACACGAUUUUGACGAGGGGCAUGGGUUGUAUAUGAACACUAAGAAUUCCACCACAGCCCUACACACAUGAGACUCACAAGUACCACCGAAAUAAGUGCAUGCCUAGGCAAGUGAGAGCAAGUUUUAGAUCUAAUCCAAAUAGUUCAAGUACUUGAUCUAAAACAUGUAAAUCCUAGGGCAUGGCAAAAAUAAACCGCAAAGAUUCAUAGGACCUAUACGCCCCUCAAAUAUCUCCUUCAUGCCAUCCAAGAACAGGACACAAGAUCAAAGACAUGAAUCCAAACCACCAAUGCUCCUAACCCUAGAACAAGAACAUCAACCAAUAGAAGAAGGGGAGGAGCGUUACCGGGAUUCAUGGCCCUUGGAGGAGGAAGGAGACGUGGAGCAACCCUUCCAAUCCAAUGGAGAGAAGGAGCUCCACAAAUAGAGAUCGAAACAAGGGGAUUUCGGGCUAGGGGAGGGAGGAGCCGCGAGGAAGAAGAAAGAGGCUGAAAAAAACGGGCUCCCCCUCCUUUAUAUAGCCCAAGGGGUACGGGCCAACGGUAGUACCGCUGUGGACCUGGCGGUAGUACCGCUACCUGGCGGUAGUAGCGCUGGAUGCAGCGGUAGUACCGCUGGGGUCCUGGCGGUAGUACCACUCCCCCUGGCGGUAGUACUGCUCCCCCUUGAGACAGCCCUAAAAAUUUCCUAGCAGGUUGUGUUAGAUGGGAAUCCUGGCGGUAGUACCGCUAUUCCUAGCGGUAGUACCGCUGGAGUCCUGGCGGUAGUACCGCUACCCCUGGCGGUAGUACCACUGCAAAUGACACAACGCGGCCUAGGAUAAGAGAAGAAUUUGGGAAAAUGACAAGUAAGUAAAAGAAAUAGCACCAAAAAAUAUGUACUGACUUGUCAUUGUAUAUCCGUUUCUUCUAUACGAAGGAAAGGUGGGGAGGGGCGGUGGCCGAGGCCACCUAUGUUUGAGACAAUGGUAUGCCACCGCGAAGAAUUAUCCUUGGGUUCAUGACCAAUGCUCGUCUUUGAAGCACAAGUGACAUUUGACAAUGGCUAAAGUGAAAGACUAGAUUGAUUUAUGCAUAAUGGGGGGAGGGAAAGUUCAUUGAGAGAACAACACUCCCCCUAUGUCCAUGCCUACAUCUAGACCAAGAUGGAAUGCAAAGUGAGGUGCAACAUGCCUAGUUUCAAUCCACAUUACUUGAAUCAAUGAUAUUUAGCUCAUGCCUUAACUCCCGGAACCUUGCUUCAUCUAGAGGCUUAGUGAAAAUAUCUGCAAGUUGCUCUUCAAUGUGGAUGAAGUGAACCUCAAUGUCACCUAGCUUGAUAUGUUCACGAAUGAAAUGAUGGCGAAUAUCAAUAUGUUUGGUUUUGCUAUGUUGCACUGGGUUGAGGGAAAUCUUGAUAGCACUUUGAUUGUCACAUAGAAGAGGCACUUUGUCACAAGUGACACCAUAAUCCUUUAAAGUUUGCCUCAUCCAUAGCAACUGUGCACAACAACUUGCAGCUGCCACAUACUCAGCUUCGGUGGAUGAUAAGGAGACACAAUUCUGCUUCUUUGAUGACCAACUUACCAAUGAGCGACCAAGGAAUUGGCAUCCUCCAGACGUUGACUUCCUCUCCACACAAUCUCCAGCCCAAUCUAAGUCAGAAUAGCCAACUAGAUUGAAGUUUGCUCCUUUGGGAUACCAAAGGCCAAAGUUUGGGGUAUGAGCCAAAUAUCGAAAGAUUCGCUUAACAGCCAUGUAAUGACUUUCUUUUGGUGUGGAUUGAAACCGUGCACAUAUCCCUACACUCAACAUGAUAUCCGGUCUGGAUGCACAAAGGUAAAGGAGGGAUCCAAUCAUGGAGCGAUAUACCUUUUGAUCCACUGCUUUACCAUUGGGAUCACUGUCAAGCUUGCAUCUUGUUGGCAUGGGGAACUUGACCGGUUUGACAUCUUCGAGCUCGAACCGUUUGAGCAUGUCUUGAGUGUACUUGGCUUGUUUGAUGAAUGUCCCUUCUAGACCUUGUUUAAUCUCGAACCCGAGGAAGAACUUCAACUCUCCCAUCAUGGACAUCUCAAACUUCUCAGUCAUUAGUGCAGCAAAUACUUCAUUGAAGGAAAUGUUAGGAGAGCCAAACAUAAUAUCAUCAACAUAUAGUUGACAUAUGAAAAAAUCCCCUUUAACCCUCUUAGUAAAAAGGGUGGGAUCUAUCUUCCCAAUUUCAAACCCACGAUCUUGUAACAACUCAGUAAGAUACUCAUACCACGCGCGUGGGGCUUGUUUAAGGCCAUAGAGUGCCUUAUUAAGUUUGUACACAUGAUUGGGGAGCUUGGGAUGUUCGAAUCCCGGGGGUUGUUUGACAUAGACCAACUCAUUUAAAGGACCAUUAAGAAAGGCACUUUUCACAUCCAUUUGUUGUAAUUUGAAGUUAUGAUGAGAAGCAAAUGCAAGCAACAUGCGAAUAGAUUCUAGACGAGCAACAGGGGCAAAGGUUUCACCGUAGUCGAUACCCUCGACUUGGGAGUAGCCUUGAGCCACCAAACUUGCCUUGUUUCGAAUCACAAUCCCAUUGGCAUCUUGCUUGUUCUUGAAUAUCCAUUUGGUCCCGAUGACAUUAUGUUCCUCCGUUGGCCUAGGCACUAAAUCCCAGACUUGGUUGCGCUUGAAGUUGUUAAGUUCUUCGUGCAUGGCCAUAAGCCAAUCCUCAUCAUCGAGCACUUUGUGUACCUGUUGAGGUUCACAAUACGAAACAAACGCGUGAUUCUCACAAUAAUUUCAAAUCUGUUGACGGGUGGAUACUCCCCUUUUUAAACUGCCAAGUACAUUCUUCAUAAGAUGUGACUUGACUCUCAGCUUGUUCGCAAUCUUGGUUGCUCGACGCUCCAAGAGUUCUUCAUUAGAUAACGGGGGAGCAUCGACUUGUUUCCUUUGCUUGCCCUUGCGUCUUGAGCCGGCUGUUGGUGCUCCAGAAGGGAAUUGUGAGACAGUCUCCUGAUCAUCUUGUCCUUCGACUUGAGCAGGUUCACUAGUUUGUUCUUGUAUUUGUGGUUGCUCUUGAUCUUGAUCUUGUGCUUCUACUUGGUCUGGAUCUCGGGGUUGCACUUGAUCUUGAUCAUGAGCUGGUUCGGAGUCUUGGGGUAGUGCUUGAAUAUCCUGAGACACAUCAUCAUUGUUGGGCAAUUUAUCUUGACCUUGAGCUUGUUUAUUUUGUUGAGAGUCUUCUCUUUGUUCAUCGGAAGCGUGUGGGGCUUGUGGAGGUGAUGGCUCCACUUGAGUAGAGCAUUGUCCUUCUCCUUCGGCCACAAGGGGUUCCUCAAUGGGGAGUAUUUGACCAAUCCCCAUUCUUCUUCUGGCUUGGGGAGGAAUUUCAUCACCUACAUCACAAAGACCACUUUGCUCCACUUGGGAGCCAUUAUUUUCAUAAAACUCUACGUUACACGUCUCCUCAAUUAGUCCGGUGGACUUGUUGAGGACACGGUAAGCAUGAGAGUUUGUAGCAUAACCAACAAAGGUACCCUCAUGUGCUCUAGAAUCAAAUUUAGCUAACCGUGCACCUUUCUUGAGAAUGAAACACUUACAAUCGAAUACCCGGAAGUACUUGAGAUUGGGUUUGUUUCCAGUUAGAGUCUCAUACGGAGUCUUGUUCAAGCCUUUGCGGAUGUAGAGCCGAUUGGAUGCAUGACAUGCUGUGUUGAUGGCCUCUGCCCAGAAGUUAUAUGGAGAUUUGAAUUCUGCCAUCAUUGUCCUUGCAGCGUCUAUCAAGGUCCAGUUCUUCCUUUCUGCCAUGCCGUUUUGUUGAGGGGUAUAUGGUGCAGAAUAUUGGUGUUUUAUUCCCUCAUCACCUAGAAACUCAUCUAAGGUGUAGUUCUUGAACUCGGUGCCGUUGUCACUUCUAAUCAUCAAGAUCUUUGCUUCAUGUUGACGUUGCGCUUCAUUAGCAAAGUUGAUGACCGUUUGUUGAGUUUCACUCUUCUUUUUAAAGAAAUAUACCCAGGUAUAUCUUGAGUAGUCGUCAACAAUCACUAAGCAAUACUUUCUGCCUCCAAGACUAUCAAAUGAUGGAGGACCAAACAGAUCCAUAUGGAGAAGUUCCAAUGGCCUCUUAGUGUAGAUAAGAGUCGUUGAACGAUGAGCAGUUUCAUGAAUCUUUCCUUCAAUGCAGGCACUGCAAACACGAUCUUUAGCAAAACUCACAUUUGUUAGUCCACGAAUAUGGUCCCCUGUCAGAAUACUUUGCAAAGAUCUCAUAUUGACAUGAGCUAAACGGCGAUGCCAAAGCCAGCCCACGUCAACUUUAGCCAUUAAACUUUAAGAGUCUUGCUCCUUAGGAGGACCACAGUAUCAAGAUUAAAGAAUGUAGAAAAACCCACAAUUGCGAGUUGACGAACCGAAAGUAAAUUGUAGGCAAGUGACUCAACAAGCAUGACCUUCUCAAUAGAUAAAUCUUGAGAGACGACCACCUUACCAAAUCCCAAUACCUUUGAAGAGGAUGCAUCGGCCAAUUGGACAUGGGUGGGCAUAGAUGGAGAAGGAUGCACAUCCACCACUAAGUCCUUGCUUCUGGUCAUAUGAUUUGUUGCUCCACUAUCGAGCAACCAUGACACCCCACCGGAAGCAAACUCCUACAAUAGAUCAAGGCUUGGUUUUAGGUACCCAUUUUUAAUGGGUCCUUUCAUGUUAGAGACAAGGGUCUUAGGAACCCAGAUAGCCCAUUCAAUAUCCUCAUCGUAGGAACCAACGAAUCUGGCAUAAACAUGCCCAUCACUAGCACAACAUAAGACAUAAGAGGAAUUGAAUUUGACGGCUGUGUUAGUAGGGAUGGUUUUGCCCUUCUCGAGGUUUCCAUAGUCCACCUUGUUCCUGUUCACCUUCUGAGUCCCCUCACCCUCUUUGACAAAGAUGUCCAUGAGGGUGGGAGAUCGUUUGUUCCUGUUCCUCCUUUUACCUUUUGACUUGGAGGUAAGUCCAAGUCCCUCCUUUCCUACAACACCAUUUUGAGUGCUCAAGAGGUCGUUCAGACUCUUCUCACCUUGUAUGCAUGCCAUAAGGCCCUUCUCAAGUUUCUCCUUUAACUUGGCAUUUUCCUCCACAAGAUGUACAUGCUCACAACAGGGGUUAGUUGCAAAAGCAUUAUCAAUUAACACAAAGGGAGGGCAAGUAGAGAUCUCCUUGGUAAGCUUUGCUUGGAGUUGAUCAUGAGACUCUUUUAGAGAGAAAUGAACACCUUUCAAGACCUUGUGGGCCUUGUCAAGUGUGUCAAACUCCUCUUUGAGUCUGUCAUGGCCAACCUCAAGAGCAUACUUUUCAGACUUAAGCAUACGAGUAAGAACAACAUCAUGAUCUAGUUUCUUUUGCAUUUUAGCGCAGUCAUCGUUAUAUGACUCCUCAAGAGCUAAACGAAGAGUGCGCUCCUCUCCUAGAGCAUUAGAUAAUUCGGCAAUUUCAUCGGCAUAGUCACGACUGUGUCCCUGAAGCUCGGAGAUGGUCUCCUCAUGAGACUCAAUGAGGUCAGUGGCCUCACCCAGUUGUUCCAAGAGAGCAACAAAGUGCUUCUUGGGUUCUCCCUUAAUAGUGCACAGAAACUUGUCAAGAUCAUGCUCAUUAAGUUCCCCAACAUCACUAUCUUCAACACAAUUUAACAAUGAAGGGGCGGAAGUAAUGUUGGUCUUAAUGAUGGGAGUUACCUGAUUGAUACCUUUUGCCAUGAGGCACUUGGUGAUGUGGUUCUCGUUGGGGGCGUUGAAGAGAGACACCUUCUGGGGAGGUGUAGUGGCAAUAGCAACAGUUGCCGUUGCCAUUGUAUCAUCAUCAUGAUCAUCAUCGGAAGGGUACUCUUCAAGGGCUACCAUCCCUUUUGGGUGAGGUUUCUUCACAAAGUUGUUCUUGAUUGGAAAUGAUUUGGUUUUGUCUUUGCGAAUGAGCUUGCCUCCGUUGUCUUCCCUUUUCUCAUAGGGACAUUCGGCCAUGAAGUGACUCACGUUACCACAGUUAUAACAUGUCCUUACUCGUUGCUUGGGUUUGAAUCCACUCGAGUUGUUCUUGGUGAAGGAGGGUCUUGAGUUCCUCUUGUUGCCCCAGGAUUGCCUUGAUGCAAGAGCCAUGUGCUCAUGAUAGGCAUACUUUGUUUCUUCAGGGCAGCCCUCCUCUUCCUCAUCUUCUUCUUCUUCUUCUUCUUCAAGCAUUCCUUUUGCUUUCAACGCAAGGUUGGGUGAAGUUGUCUUUGAUCGAACACGAGCAAGUGCAUUGUCGGCUGUUUCGUUCAUGAUUGACAUUGCAAUGAAUUCAUCCAACACCUCACUGGAAGACAAGGAGUGGAAGUCUGGCCGCUGAUGAAUGACAGAUGACAUGGCUUUGUUGAAAGGCAUGAUGGCUUUAAGGAACUUGCGCUUGACCCAUGUAUCAUCCACAUCCUUGCUCCCAUGAUCCUUGAGUGCCACAGCAAUAGCAGUCACCCUCCGAUAGAGAUCAUGAGGGUCCUCGUCUUCCUUCAUCACAAACUCAUCGGCCUUAUCAAGUAUCGCUUCAUAGUUGGAUCGUUGAAUGCUUGAGCUUCCCUUGUACAACACCAUAAUAUGCUCCCAACAAUCCUUGGCCAAAGUGAAGGGACGCAAGUGAGGAAGAUCUUCAGGUGGCACUGUAGACUGGAGGAUAAACAAAGCGGAGUGAUUGUAUUGAUUGUCUGCAUCUUCUCUUGGAGUGAGGUUGCUUGGAUCAUGGGGAUAAUAUCCUUGCUUGAUGAUUCUCCACAAGUUUGUUGAGCUGUGAUUCAAAUGAGACUUAAUAGAAAAUACCCAGUUAGCAAAGUCACCUUUCACAUGCUUAGGAGGAGGACCAACAGGAUUAAGACGUGGUGCAGGAACGGAUCAUCCAUAGACCAUGGGGGGUGGAACUGAGGCAUAUGUUCCAGUCCCAUCCUUUUCGUGAGAUGAAGGAGGUUGCAUACCUUUAGCCGCUUCCUUAGAGGAGUUGGCCUCCGAAUCGGAAACGGUGGGUUUAACCACUAUAGCCGGUUCGGGUGAACUUUUAAAUCCCUCAAUUAACUCUUUAAGCAUGGUCUUGACCUUGUUCGUCAAGGACGUCUUGAGAGCGGCCAUAGCCGUAUUCAAGUCGUCCCUUGUGACCGAAGUCAAGUCCAUGGCCUCGGGUUGCCCAUGGUUAAUUCCCUCUUCGCCUUCCAUACUCUUCGGGUGGUUAAACCCUUAAUAAAGAGACGUGGCUCUGAUACCAAUUGAAAGGAUCGAUAUGGUUGACUAGAGGGGGGGGGGGUGAAUAGACAACGACCACUUUUUCAAUUAAUCUUAGCAAGUUAAGGUAANAACAAGUUUGAUUGGCUAAGGAGAGAGAUCGGGCACUUGUGAGCUUAGGGAGCAACAAUGGAGCUUGAGAGGGUGAGAGAUAAGGUUCCACAGCUAGAAGAACCCUUUAUAUAGUGGGGGGGGAAAAUCCAACCGUUUUCCCACUCUCUGCCCGAGCUCCAGCGGUACUACCGCUGGCACUCCAGCGGUACUACCGCUGACCAGGGGCGGUACUACCGCUGACUAGCGGUACUACCACUGGUUGCAGUGGUACUACCGCUGGCAUUCUAGUGGUACUACCGCUGGUCCCAGCGGUACUACCGCUGGGCCCCUGGUAGCGCAAAAGCACUACCACCGCCAAGAAAGUCUUUGCAAAAAGGUCCGUCCAUGAACAACCGCUAGGCAGGCUGUACUAAGCUCCUGGAGCGGUACUACCGCUGACCAGGGGCGGUACUACCGCCAGCCAGCGGUACUACCGCUGGCUGCAGCGGUACUACCGCUAGCAUUCCAGCGGUACUACCGCUGGGGACCAUUUUGCAAGGAGGAAAGAAACACAGUGGCGGGGGCCGCUCCAAAGAUGAAGGUAAGGGAAAAUAUGUGAAGUGUGCGUGUGCAAAGAUAGAUUCCACCCAAACCUUUCCACUACGGUUCCCCUCUUAAUAGUAUGGCUUUCCUAUGACUCAAAUAAAGAGAAUCGUAGAGAGCGCCGUUCUUCCGUUCCAUGAAUGAGGAGGCGAGUCAUCUCGUGCCGUUGACGUGUGUUAUCUGAAACCUUAACACACACGGUUAGUCCUUUACGGUACUGUCAUCAAUCGCCAAAAUUACUUAGGCAUAAACUAUACCCCAACAGCAGACUUGCCGCCUUUCCCAUGUGGACGCUUGUCAUAACGAUUAGGGCAGUUAGGUGCCCAAUGAUCAGGAUCUCCGCACACAUGAUAACCUCCUUUCUUCUUGUCAUUCUUCUUCUCAAAGUUGGUGUGCUGUACAACCUUGUUCUUCCCAUCUAACUUUGCUUUACCAUCAAACUUGCCCUUGUUCUUGAAAUUGUGGGGCUGGAAGUUUUUCUUCUGUACCAGAUUGGCACUAGAGCCUCCCUCAAUGCCUCGAGCACGUGUGUCUUUUGCUCUCGCCUUUUCUUCCACAUCAAGAGUACCUAUGAGAUCUGGAGCGGAAAACUCCUGUCUCUUAUGCUUCAAUAAGGUAGCAAAGUUCCUCCACGCGCCACCUCUUAUAGUGGACACCCUCAAACAUAGGAGGUCUCAUGGAAGCAGCAAAACCACUCGGGGUAAACUGCCUAUAAUAAGGUUUUUGGAUUGUUGGAAAUAUGAGCAAUUUACCAUAGGAUUUUAUUAAAAGGAAAGCUAGGAUAAACAUAAUCAUCAUAAUAAGGAUGAAAGAACACAUGCAUAUAGAGAUGAGACGGCAAAAGACAUGUGCACAUAUGAUCUAGAAAAGAACAUAUGUGUAGCCGUUCUAUAUACACAAGGUAUCAUAUGGAGUGAUGAGUAGAAACGAAACUUAUCUAGAAGUGAAACUAUAGCAAGAAGUUGCGGUAGGAACUCAAAGAAAAAGAACAUGAGUACGUACUGAGUUGCAGCAGCAGUAGGGUUGGUGUUGGCGUUGUCGUUGGCCAUGUUACCGAAGAGGUGGUCGACGUCGGGAAAGUAGUUGUCGUCCGGGAAGAGAUCGUAGGUGCCCGUGAUGGAAGCCAGUAGUCGUGCCGAGCGCUCCCCAAAAACCGUUCGGCUCGGCUCAUUCCAGCAACCCGCAUCGUGACGAGGCGGACGGCGGAGGAGGAGGAGCGCGCGUGUAUGUCUCUCUUGUUCUCAAGCUCAUACAUGUAUGGAAACAUCCUCCCUUAUAAGGAGGUCCAACUCUCACUAAACUAGCAAUGUGGGACUAAACAUUUCCACCUCUUGUCUUGCGCAAAUGGGCUGUGUGGGCCUCUAGGAUUUAUUAGGAAUUUUCUGAAAUUAUAUAUUGGGCUGGUCCAAAAAUAGACAAAAAUUUGAGCAUAUAUAUAUAUGUAUUAUUUCUAAAUACAUUUAUUUUUAUAUAUUUAUGCGAUAAAUAAUUCCAGAUGGAAAAAGUAUUAUUAGUUCGUUAUUGAUGGCAGGUUUCACUUGACAUCAUUAAAUAAUCAAUAAUUACAUGGGUAUUAUCAGUUGUAGUAUGAGUUCGUUAUCGAUGGCCGUUAUUGGUGUUAUCCUCCUUUUUCGAAGGAAGCCAAGAUCUGUAUGUAUAUAGGAAAAACAUCUGACGAUGAUACAACUCGCCCACACAAUUGUCGGAACAAGAAUCAUCUCUGAUUACGGAGGCAAUCACCCACAAUUCCUUCAGAUCAAUUGUGUGCAAUGGAGUAACUAUGACUAACAGUUUCUUCCUGUAUAUAAUUUGCGGUGAUGCUAGUCAUCGCACACGUUAAAUACCACAUGAACAUAUGUUAAACAUUCUAUAGCAUAUAUUUUUACUUAGAAAAGGAGGAUAUGUUCCCGGCAUCUGCAUGUGGAUAAUGCAUGUAGCUAUUUUAUUAAUUAUUCACAAAAAUCAUUGAAAAUAAUACACCGAUUAAUCUGAAGUCAUAAUCUAGGCAAACCUUGUUACUAGUCCUAUCCUUUGAUGAAGGUGUGCUGAAUUCCAGACCAAAUACCAAAUAGAUAUUGCACCAAAUCCUAACAUCUAUAACCGAAUGUCCCAGCCCAGCCCCACACCGGGACUGAGUCCCACACUGAUCCGACGCAUUCCCUGAGGCUGUCGCCACAAUCUUCCACCGAUCCAUCUCCAAAGCUAGAACAUACACAUUGACCUUGCGAGGCCUGCCAUCGACGUCGUCACGACGCCAGAUAACGCCACCAUGAUGCGUCUAUAGCACAUGCAAUAUUGUAAAAAUCGUAUGUAUUGCAGUUGUAUAUUACACACGCUAUCUUCCAAAACGUGUGCUUUAAUAUGUUCAUAGCACACACAAUCUUUUACUAAAUUGUUUGUAUUGUAGUUUAGCAUCGCACACGGUUUGCUCUACACAACCGUGUUCAUUGGCAUGAGUAGCACAACAGUUCUAUACUUUAAUUUAAUAGUACAAUACAAAUCACAUCAAAUUUAAAUUUAAUACUAUUAAUUCAAAGACACACAACACAGUUCAUAUAAGCAAAUUAACACAACAUACAAAUUUUGUCCAUUAUUAAUUGUUGUAGGCAUUACUACCAACAUAUAUAUGGAUCACAUAUUAUUAAUUGUAGCAACACGACAUAAUUUAUUUGGCUUUCUCUUGAGGAUGUGUCUAUAUGGAAAUAAAGAAUAUUGAUUGUUGCGCUCGAAAGAGACGAUUGAUGGUGCCAAAACCAGUUGAUCUCUACAUGGGGCUCUUGGGGCAGAGCGCGCAUAGAGGAUUGGAAUAAGAUACACACGGGACACAAAAUUAUCCACGUACAUGCUCUCGGGGUGAGGUAUGUUGAAAUUAUGUGUCAUGCACCUAUUUCAAGCUCUAUAGGAGUACACGCAAGAAGAAAUGACAUAUCUGACCCUUGAGGCACGCGGAGACAGGGUGAAAAGCAGCGAGUAGUAUCACGACAACGACCACGUCGACAGAGUUGCAUGAUGGAUGGCGACGCUUCAACCUAGCUGUGAUACCAAUGUAAGAAAUUUAGGGUUUUGUGGUCUACCCCCUAUUCCUCUGCGCUUAUCUGUGGUGCCGCUCACAAUUCGUUUAUCUGAGGCUAGGGGAUAGGGACCUUCAUAUACUGUCUUUCCAAAGAGUCCACCUCUUAUACAGAUAUAAGAUUUCUAGUAUUUUCCACUAGUUUCUCGGAUAGAGUCCAUAUAAAAUUACCAACCACCAUCAUAUUUGUCUGAUAACAGAUUCUACCUAUUAUGUCCCCGGAGCACACGUUUGUGAGCAACUCGCCGUAAUAGAGUGUAAAUUCCUCUAAUUACGUAGAUCAACAUGACGCCUGUAAUCUAACUAUACGAUCUAGAUAUUUCCGAUCAUCACUGUACUCGGCUAGUCUUUCCAAUACAAAUAGUAUAUAGUUGCAGGACACAUAAUUCCAACAAGCACUAGUAAAAAACGGGGCUAUAGUCUCAGUUCACCAACUGAGACUAUUAACUUGGGACUAAACCCCCCCCCCCCCACCAGUCCCGGUUUGCCACGAACCGGGACUAAAUCCCUUCCACGUGGCUCAGAGGGUGCGAGGGGGCAGGGACCUUUAGUCCCGGUUGGCAACACCAACCGGGAGUAAAGGAUUCUGUAAUUUGGGGUUUUGGGUUUAUUGUUUAUAUUUGCUUUUCAUUUUCUGUUUUCCAUUUAAUUAUUUUUCAUUUCAAACAUAUCAUAGAAUUUGGUACAUAGAUAUUGUUGGAAAUAUGCCCUAGACGCAAUGAUAAAAUAGUUAUUAUUAUAUUUUCUGUUUCAAGAUAAUCGUUUAUUAUCCAUGCUAUAAUUGUAUUGAAUGAAAGCAUAGAUACAUGUGUGGAUAUAUAGACAAAACAAUGUCCCUAGUAAGCCUCAGGUUGAGUAGCCAGUUGAUGAAGGAUGGUUAAGGUUUUCUGACCAUAUGCAAGUGUUAUCACUUGAUAACUGGAUCACAUCAUUAGGAGAAUGAUGUGAUGGACAAGACCCAAACUAUGAACGUAGCAUGUGAUCAUGUCAUUUUGUUGCUAUUGUUUUCUGUGUGUCAAGUAUUCAUUCAUAUGACCAUGAGAUCANNNNNNNNNNNNNNNNNNNNNNNNNNNNNNNNNNNNNNNNNNNNNNNNNNNNNNNNNNNNNNNNNNNNNNNNNNNNNNNNNNNNNNNNNNNNNNNNNNNNNNNNNNNNNNNNNNNNNNNNNNNNNNNNNNNNNNNNNNNNNNNNNNNNNNNNNNNNNNNNNNNNNNNNNNNNNNNNNNNNNNNNNNNNNNNNNNNNNNNNNNNNNNNNNNNNNNNNNNNNNNNNNNNNNNNNNNNNNNNNNNNNNNNNNNNNNNNNNNNNNNNNNNNNNNNNNNNNNNNNNNNNNNNNNNNNNNNNNNCUAUAAAGGUGCUCUACAAGUAUCUCCAAAGAUGUCCGUUGAGUUAGCAUGGAUCAAGACUGGGAUUUGUCACUCCGUCUGACGGAGAGGUAUCUCGGGGCCCACUCGGUAAUACAACAUCACAAAUAAGCCUUGCAAGCAAUGUGACUCAAGUGUUAGUCACGUGAUCUUGUAUUACGGAACGAGUAAAGAGACUUGCCGGUAAUGAGAUUGAAAUAGGUAUAGGUAUACCGGCGAUCAAAUCUCGGGCAAGUAACAUACCGAAGGACAAAUGGAAUGAUAUACGGGAUUAUAUGAAUCCUUGGCACAGAGGUUCAACCGAUAAUAUCUUCGUAGAAUAUGUAGGAUCCAAUAUGGACAUCCAGGUCCCGUUGUUGGAUAUUGACCGGGGAGUGUCUCAGGUCAUGCCUGCAUAGUUCUUGAACCCUCAGGGUCUGCACACUUAAGGUUCGGUGACGUUUCGGCAUAGUUGAGUUAUAGGUGUUGGUGACCGAAGGUUUUUCGGACUCUCGGAUGAGAUCACGAACGCCAUGAGGGUUUCUGGUAUGGUCCGGAAAUGAAGAUUGAUAUAUGGCAUGGUGUCAUUUGACCUCCGGAAAGAAUUUGGGCAUUACCGACAAUGUACCGGGAGUGACGAAUGGGUUCCAGGUUUUCACCGGGAGGGGCCCACCCACCCGGGUGAGUCCAGCCCAAGUGGGUUGUGUCGGCUAGGAAAAAAGAAAACCAAAGAAUAGAAAAGAAAAAAGGAGGGAGGUGGGAAGGAAGAGGAGGACUCCUCCUUCCCCAAACCGAAUUGGAGUUGGAGUCCUCCUCUCCUCUCUUGGCCGGCGCCCUUGGGGCUCUCUUGAGCCCCAAGGCUAGCCCCUCCCCUCCUACUAUAUAUACUAGAGGUUUUAGGGGUUUUGAGACACAACUUUGCCACGUGCAACUCAAACCUCUACUUCGUAGUUCUUCCUCUAGAAUGACUUUCUGCGGAGCUCGGGCGGAGCCCUGUAGGAAUAGAUCAUCACCAUCACUUGCGCACCGUGACGCUGUCGGAGAACUCAUCUACUUCCCCGUCUCUCUUGCUAGAUCAAGAAGUCGGAGAUCGUCAUCGAUUUGUACGUGUGCUGAACGCGGAGGUGUCGUUCGUUCGGCGCUAGAUCGGAAUGGAUCGUGGGACGACGGUGAUUUGAACCACGAAGCUAUACCACUACAUCAACCGCGUUUCUUAAUGCUUCCCGCUUAGCGAUCUACAAGGGUAUGUGGAUCCGAUCUCCCUCUCGUAGAUGAACAGCACCAUGACAGGUCUUCGUGUGCGUAGGAAUUUUUUUGUGUCCCAUGCAAAGUUCCGCAAUAGUGGCAUCAUGAGCUAGGUUCAUGCGUAGAUGUAAUCUCGAGUAGAACAAAAAAGUUUUUGUGGGCGUUGAUGUUCGACUUGCUGCCCUCCUUAGUCUUUUCUCGAUUCGGCAGUAUUGAUGGAUUGAAGCGGCCCGUACCAACAUUACUCGUACGCUUUCGAGAGACUGGUUUCAUCAACUAACAUGCAACUCGUUGCGUAAAGAUGACUGGCGGGUGCCUGUUUCUUCAACUUUAGUUGAAUUGGAUUUGACCGAGGCGGUCGUUGGAGAGAGGUUAAAUAGCAAUUUGCACAUCUAUGUUGUGGUUUUUGCGUAAGUAAGAUGCGAUCAUACUAGAUACCCAUUGCAGCCACGUAAAACAUGCAACAACACAUUAGAGGACGUCUAACUUGUUUUUGCAGGGUAUGCUUGUGAUGUGAUAUGGCCAAAGACAUGAUGUGAUAUAUUGGAUGUAUGAGAUUAUCAUGUUUUAAUAGUUAAUAUCGACCUGCACGUCGAUGCUACGGCAACCAACAGGAGCCAUAGGGUUGUCUUUAAACUAACGUUUGUGUUUGCAGAUGCGUUUACUAUAUUGCUAGGUUGUAGCUUUAGUAGUAAUAGCAUAGAUAGCACGACAACCUCGAUUGCGGCACGAUGAUGGAGAUCAUGGUGUGGCGCCGGUGACGAUGAAGAUCAUGUCGGUGCUUUGGUGAUGGAGAUCAAGAAGCACAAGAUCAUGGCCAUAUCAUGUCACUUAUGAAUUGCAUGUGAUGUUAAUCCUUUUUUGCACCUUAUCUUGCUUAGAACGAUGGUAGAAUUAUAAGGUGUUCUCCCCGACUGUGCACCGUUGCGACAGUUCGUCGUUUCGAGACACCACGUGAUGAUCGGGUGUGAUAGACUCAACGUUCACAUACAACGGGUGCAAAACAGUUGCACACGCGGAACACUCGGGUUAAACUUGACGAGCCUAGCAUGUGUAGACAUGGCCUCGGAACACAAGAGACCGAAAGGUCGAGCAUGAAUCGUAUAGUUGAUAUGAUUAGCAUAGAGAUGUUUACCACUGAAACUACACUCGACUCACGUGAUGAUCAGAUUUGAGUUAGUGAAUUUGGAUCAUGCCACACUCAAGUAACUAGAAGGAUUUCUAUUUGAGUGGGAGUUUAUUAGUAAUUUGAUUAGUUAAAGUUAAUUGUCUUCAACAUAGUCUAAGUCCACUUUGGAAUAUUUUAUGUUGUAGAUCAAUGGCUCACGCAGUAGCGACCCUGAAUUUCAAUACGUUCCUACAGAAAGCUAAGCUGAAAGAUGAUGGUAGCAACUUUGUAAAAUUGGCUCAUAAUCUUAGGCUUAUCCUACAAGCUGGGAAAAAGAAUUAUGUCCUUGAUGAUGCGCUAGGAGAUGAACCACCCGCUACGUUUGACCAAGAUGUUUUGAAGGCUUGGCAAUCACGUAAGGAGGACUACUCAGUAGUUCAAUGUGUAGUCUUGUAUGGCUUGGAACCGGGACUUCAACGACGCUUUGAACGUCAUGGAGCAUAUGAGAUGUUCCAGGAGUUGAAGUUUAUCUUUCAGAAGAACACCUGGAUCGAGAGGUAUGAGACCUCCGAUAAAUUCUAUGCUUGCAAGAUGGAGGAGAAUUCGUCUGUCGGUGAACAUGUGCUCAAAAUGUCUAGGUACUCAAACCGUCUAGCUGAGCUAGGGAUUGAACUCCCGCAAGAGGCUAUCACUGACAAAAUUCUUCAAUCAUUGCCAGCUAGCUACAAGAGCUUUGUGUUGAACUAUAUCAUGCAAGGGAUGAACAAGUCACCCGACGAGUUAUUCGCGAUGCUGAAAGUCGCAGAGUGAGAACUCCGGAAAGAGCAUCAAGUGUUGAUGGUCAAUAAGACCACUGGUUUCAAGAGAAAUGUCAAAGGCAAGAAGGGAACUCCAAGAAGAGAGGCAAAACUAUUGCCAAUCCAACGAAGAAACCCAAGGCUGGACCUAAGCCAGAAAUAGAGUGCUAUUAUUGCAAAGGGAUGGGUCACUGGAAGCGCAACUGCCCCAAGUAUUUGGCUGAUAAGAAGGCGGCCAACGCCAAACCGGGUAUAUGUGAUAAUCAUGUUAUUGAUGUGUACCUAACCAAUUCUCGUAGUAGUGCCUGGGUAUUUGCUACCGGUUCUGUUGCUCAUAUUUGCAGCUCAAAGCAGGGACUGCAAAAUAAACGAAGGCUGGCAAAGGAUGAAGUGACGAUGCGCGUGGGAAAUGGUUUCAAGGUUGAUGCAAUCGCCGUCGACACAGUCUCACAUCCGUUACCAUCAGGAUUAGUUAUAAACUAAAAUAAUUGUUAUUUAGUGCCUGCGUUAAGCAUGAACAUUAUAUCUGGAUCUUGUUUAUUGCGAGACGGUUACUCAUUUAAGUAAGAGAAUAAUGGUUUUUCUAUUUUUAUGAGUAAUAUCUUUUGUGGUCAUGCACCCAAUGUGAGGGGUUUGUUCAUAUUGAAUCUUAAUUGUGAUGACACACAUAUACAUAACAUUGAGACCAAAAAAUGUAGAGUUAACAAUGAUAGCGCCACCUUUUUGUGGCACUGCCGCUUAGGUCAUAUUGGUGUAAAGCGCAUGAAGAAACUCCAUGCUGAUGGGAUUUUGGAGUCACUUGAUUUUGAAUCACUUGACAUGUGCGAACCAUGCCUCAUGGGCAAGAUGACUAAGACUGCAUUCUCUGGAACAAUGGAGCGUGCAAGUGACUUGUUGGAGAUCAUACAUACCGAUGUGUACGGUCCAAUGAGUGUGGAGGCGCGUGGCGGAUUUCGUUAUUUUCUCACCUUCACUGAUGAUUUGAGUAGGUAUGGAUAUAUCUACUUGAUGAAGCACAAGUCUGAAACAGUUGAAAAGUUCAAGCAAUUUCAGAGUGAAGUUGAAAAUCAUCGUAACAAGAAGAUCAAGUUCCUACGAUCUGAUCGAGGGGGUGAAUAUCUGAGUUUGGUGCUCACUUAAGACAAUGUGGAAUCCUUUCGCAGUUAACACCGCCUUGAACACCACAACGUAAUUGUGUGUCUGAACGUCGUAAUCGUACUUUGUUAGAUAUGGUGCGAUCUAUGAUAUCUCUUUACGGUUUGCCGUUACCGUUUUGGGAUUAUGCAUUAGAGACAGGUGCAUUCACUUUACAUAGGGCACCAUCAAAAUCCGUUGAGACGACGCCAUAUGAGCUAGGGCAUGGCAGGAGGCCAAAGUUGUCGUUUCUUAAAGUUUGGGGAUGCGAUGCUUAUGUCAAAAAGCUUCAGCCUAAAAAGCUGGAACCCAAAGCGGAAAAGUGCGUCUUCAUAGGUUACCCAAAAGAGACAGUUGGGCACACCUUCUAUCUCAGAUGUGAGGGCAAAGUGUUUGUUGCUAAGAACGGAGCUUUUCUUGAGAAGGAGUUUCUCUCGAAAGAAUAGAGUGGGAGGAAGAUAGAACUUGAUGAGGUUGUGGAACCUCUGCUCCCUCUAGAUGGUGGCGCAAGGCAGAUAGAAAUCCCUGUUGAGGCAACACCGUUUGAGGAGAAAGCUAAUGAUGAUGAUCAUGAAGCUUUGGAUCAAGUUACUAUCGGACCUCGCAGGUCGACAAGAUCACGUGCUUCUCCUGAGUGGUACGGGAAUCAUGUCUUAUCUAUAAUGUUGCUAGACAACAAUGAAUGUGCGAAUUAUGAAGAAGAAAUGGUGGGCCCGGAUUCCAACAAAUGGUUAGAGGCCAUGAAGUCCGAGAUAGGAUCUAUAUAUGAAAAGAAAUUGUGGACUUUGGAAAUAUUACCUGAAGGUCGGAAGGCUAUUCAGAACAAAUGGGUCUUUAAGAAGAAAACGGACACGGACGGUAAUGUGACCGUUUAUAAAGCUCGACUUGUGGCAAAUGGUUUUUCACAAGUUCAAGGAGUUGACUACGAUGAGACUUUCUCACCGGUAGCGAUACUUAAGUCCGUCUGAAUCAAGUUAGCAAUAGCUGCAUUUUUCGAUUAUGAAAUCUGGCAGAUGGAUGUCAGAACGUCGUUCAUUAAUGGUUUUCUUAAGGAAGAGUUGUAUAUGAUGCAACCUGAAGGUUUUGUCGAUCUGAAGAAUGCUAACAAAGUAUGCAAGCUCCAGCGAUCCAUUUAUGGACUGGUGCAAGCAUCUCGGAGUUGGAACAAGCGCUUUGAUGAGGUGAUCAAAGCAUUUGGGUUUAUACAAGUUGUUGGAGAAUCUUGUAUUUACAAGAAAGUGAGUGGGAGCUCUGUAGCGUUUCUAAUAUUAUAUGUGGAUGUCAUAUUGCUGAUUGGAAACAAUGUGGAUUUUUUAGAGAGCGUAAAAGAUUACUUGAACAAAAGUUUUUCAAUGAAAGACCUAGGAGAAGCUGCUUACAUAUUAGGCAUUAAGAUCUACAUGGAGAGAUCAAGGCGCCUAAUAGGACAUUCACAAAGCACAUACCUUGAUAAAGUUUUGAAGAAGUUCAAAAUGGAGCAGGCCAAGAAGGGGUUCUUGCCAGUGUUACAAGGUAUGAAGUUGAGUAAGACUCAGUGUCGGGUAACUGUGGAAGACAAAGAAAUAUGAGUAUCGUCCCCUAUGCUUCAGCCAUAGGGUCUAUCAUGUAUGCAAUGCUGUGCACAAGACCGGACGUCCGCCUGACCAUAAGUAUGGAAGGCAGGUUUCAAAGUAAUCCAGGAGUGGAUCACUAGACAGCGGUCAAGAAUAUUCUAAAGUACCUGAAAAGGACUAAGGAAAUGUUUCUCGUUUAUGGAGGUGACGAAGAGCUCGUCGUAAAGGCUUACGUCGAUGCAAGCUUUGACACUGAUCCGAAUGACUCUAAGUCUCAAACCGGAUACAUAUUUAUUCUUAAUGGGGGUGUGAUACGUCUCCAUCGUAUCUACUUUUCCAAACUCUUUUGCCCUUGUUUUGGACUCUAAUUUGCAUGAUUUGAAUGGAACUAACCCCGACUGACGCUGUUUUCAUCAGAAUUGCCAUGGUGUUGUUUUUGUGCAAAAUUAAAGUUCUCGGAACGUCCUGAAAAUUUACGGAGAAUUUUUCUCGAAAAUAUGAAAAAUACCUGCGCAAAGAUCCACCGGAAGGGAUGGGCCAGUGGGCCACAAGCCCUGUUGCCGCGGCCACCCCCCUGACCGCGGCAACCAAGCUUGUGGGGCCCACGUGGCUCUGCUGCCCCCAAUCUCAGCUCUAUAAAUUCAAUUUCGCCCAGAAAAUAAUCAGAAGAGAAGAUUUCGUCGCGUUUGCGAUACGGAGGCGCCGCCACAUCCCAUUCUUCAUCUGGAGGACAGAUCUGGAGUCCGUUUUGGGCUCCGGAGAGGGGAAAUCGUCGCCAUCGUCAUCAUUAACCUUCUUCCCUCUCCAAUUCCAUGAAGCUCUUCAUCGUUCGUGAGUAAUCUAUUCGUAGGCUCGCUGGGCGGUGAUGAGUAGGAUGAGAUCUAUCAUGUAAUUGAGUUAGUUUUGACGGGGAUUGAUCCCUAGUAUCCACUAUGUUCUGAGAUUGAUGUUGCUACUACUUUGCCAUGCUUAAUGCUUGUGACUAGGGCCCGAGUGCCAUGAUUUCAGAUGUGAAAUUAUUAUGUUGCCACCAAUGUAUGUGUGUUUUAGAUCCGAUCUUGCAAGUUGUAGUUACCUACUAUGUGUUAUGACCCGGCAACCCCGGAGUGACAAUAACCGGAACCACUCCCGGUGAUGACCAUAGUUUGAGGAGUUCAUGUGUUCACCAAGUGCUAAUGCGUUGUUCCAGUUCUUUAUUAAAAGGGGAACCUUAAUAUCAUGUAGUAUCCUUUUGGACCCCGCUGGCACGGGAGGGAUGGACAAUAGAUGUCAUGCAAGUUCUUUUCCCUAAGCACGUAUGACUACACACGGAAUGCAUGCCUACAUCACAUUGACGAACGGGAGCUAGCCACAUAUCUCCCCGUGUUAUAACUAUUGCAUGAUGAAUAUCAUCCAAACGAAUCACCGACCCAUUGCCUACGAGUUUGUCCCACUGCUGCUGUUACUUGUUUUGCUCUUCUGCUGUUACUUGUCUUGCUCGGCUGCUACUAUUGUUACUUGCUACUACUGUUACUUGCUAUUGCUGUUACUUGAUGCUGCUGUUACUUGCUACUACUGUUACUUGCUACUGCUGUCACUACUGCUGUUCCUUGCCACUGCUAUUACUCGUUACACUCCUGCUACCUGCUACAAUUCUGGUUCGCUCGGCGUUGACGGGAAAUGACAAUUUUCGUCAACGGGCAACUUCUAGCGCCAUUGAUACGACAGUUAGGAAUAGUCUGUCGUGUCCACAGAUUGUUUCUGACACCAUUGUUAUCAUCCUACUUUGCUGCUGAUACUUUGCUUGCAGAUACUAAUCUUUCAGGUGUGGUUGAAUCCGACAAAUUCAGCUGCUAGUAAUCGAGAGUAUUCUCUUACCUCCUAACUGGCGUACCAACAAAUUUGGGUCGAAUACUCUACCCUCGAAAACUGCCGCGAACCCACGCGCUGGUGGGCCAUCAACAACAUUCUUCUAUUUUCGUUGCCGGGGAGUGCUAGCAGCAUUCUUCUGGUGACCGUUGCAGGGGAAGGUUUGUUGUCACACAAGUAGGGUGCGAUAAGCUGGUGCAGUUCCAAGCAAAGCAUCAUAGCAGAUUCUACAUGUGAAGCUGAGUACAUGGUUGCCUCGGAGGUAGCUAAGGAGGGUGUCUGGAUGAAGCAGUUCAUGAAGGCGAACGUUGCAUGGGAAACAAAAAAUUUCCUACGCACACGAAGAUCUAUCAUGGUGAUGUCCAUCUACGAGAGGAGAUUUGGAUCUACGUGCCCUUGUAAAUCACACAGCAGGAAGCGUUAAGAAACGUGGUUGAUGUACUAGAACAUCUUCACGUCCCUCGAUCCGCCCCACGAAUCGUCCCAUGAAGCGUCCCGCGAUCUGUCCCACGAUCCAUUUCGAUCAAGUGCCGAACGGACGGCACCUCCGCGUUCAGCACACGUACAGCUCGACGAUGAUCUUGGCCUUCUUGAUGCAGCAAGCAAGACAGAGAAGUAGAUGAGUUCUCCGGUAGCGUGACGGUGCUCCGGUGGUGGUGGUGAUCUACUCCUGCAGGGCUCCGCCCGAGCUCCGCAAGAAUCCGAUCUAGAGGUGGAACUAUGUGAUUUAGGGUUGAGUUGCAUGUGGCAAAACUUGUCUCAAAUCAGUCCUAAAAGACCACUAUAUAUAGGAGGGAGGGGGAGGAGGCUUGCCUUGAGGGCCAAGCCCUCAAGGGUGCGCCGGCCAAGGAGGAGGUGGACUCCCACCCCAAUUCAGUUUGGGGAAAGGAGUCCACUCCUUCCUUCCCACCUCCCCUUUUCCCUUUUUCCUUUUCUUUUGUUUGGUAAUUUCUUAUGUGGCGCGAGCCCACUAUGUACUUGUGGCGUCACCCUAUGGCCUUGAGCUCACUCCCGGGUGGGUGGGCCCCUCCUGGUGAACUCCCGGAACCCAUUCAUCACUCCCGGUACACUGCCGGAAUAGCCCAAAACUUUCGGAUAACCAAAUGAAACCAUCCUAUAUAUCGAUCUUCAUUUCUGGACCAUUCCGGAAACCCUCGUGAUGUCCGUGAUCUCAUCCGGGACUCCAAACAACAUUCGAUAACCACACUCAUAACUCAACUAUACUAAAACAUUGUCGAACCUUAAGUGUGCACACCCUGCGGGUUCGGGAACUAUGUAGACAUGCCCCGAGGCACUCCUCGGUCAAUAUCUAAUAGCGGGACCUGGAUGCCCAUAUUGGAUCCUACAUAUUCUCCGAAGAUGUUAUCGGUUGAACCUAAGUGUCAAGGACUCAUAUAAUCCUGUAUGUCAUUCCCUUUGUCGUUCGGUAUGUUACUUGCCCGAGAUUUGAUCGUCGCUAUCCGCAUACCUAUUUUAAUCUCGUUACCGGCAAGUCUCUUUACUCAUUCUGUAACACAAGAUCCCGUGACUUACACUCAGUCACAUUGCUUGCAAGGCUUGUUUGUGAUGUUGUAUGACCGAGUGGGCCCCGAGAUACCUCUCCGUCACACGGAGUGACAAAUCCCAGUCUUGAUACAUACUAACUCAACGAACACCUUCGGAUAUACCUGUAGAGCACCUUUAUAGUCACCCAGUUACGUUGUGACGUUUGAUGCACACAAGGUAUUCCUCCGGUGCCAGUGAGUUAUAUGAUCUCAUGGUCAUAGGAACAAAUACUUGACACGCAGAAAACAAUAGCAAUAAAACGACACGAUCAAUAUGCUACGUUCAUAGUUUGGGUCUAGUCCAUCACAUGAUUCUCCUAAUGAUGUGAUCCAGUUAUCAAGUGACAACACUUGUACAUAGCCAGAAAACCUUGACUAUCAUUGAUCAACUGGCAAGCCAACUACAGCCUUGCUAGGGACACUGUUUUGUCUAUGUAUCCGAACAUGUAUCUAUGUUUUCAUUCAAUACAAUUAUAGCAUUGAUAAUAAACGAUUAUCUUUAAACACGAAAUAUAAUAAUAACUAUUUAUCAUUGCCUCUAGGGUAUAUUUCCAACAGUCUCCCACUUGCACUAGAGUCAAUAAUCUAGUCCUCACAUCGCCAUGCGAUUUACAUUGUAAUACAUCGAACACCCAUACAGUUCUGGUGUUGAUCAUGUUUUGCCCGUGGAAGAGGUUUAGUCAGUGGGUCUGCUACAUUCAGAUCCGUCUGCACUUUGCAAAUAUUCACGUCCUCUCCUUCGACAUAGUCGCGGAUGAGGUUGAAGCAUCGUUUGAUGUGUCUGGUCUUCUUGUGAAACCUUGGUUCCUUUGCUAAGGCAAUGGCACCAGUGUUGUCACAUAACAUAGUUAAUGGAUCUAGUGCGCUCGGCACAACUCCAAGAUCUGUCAUGAACUGCUUCAUCCAGACACCCUCCUUUGCUGCCUCCGAGGCAGCCAUGUACUCCGCUUCACAUGUAGAAUCUGCUACGACGCUCUGCUUGGAACUGCACCAGCUUACCGCACCCGCAUUAAGAAUAAAUACGUAUCCGGUUUGCGACUUAGAGUCAUCCGGAUCGGUGUCAAAACUUGCGUCGAUGUAACCUUUUACGACGAGCUCUUUGUCACCUCCAUAAACGAGAAACAUUUCCUUAGUCCUUUUCAGGUACUUCAGAAUAUUCUUGACCGCCGUCCAGUGAUCCACUCCUGGAUUACUCUGAAACCUGCAUGCCAUACUGACGGCCAGGCUGACGUCUGGUCUAGUGCACAACAUUGCAUACAUGAUAGAACCUACGGCUGAAGUGUAGGGGACGAAACUCAUUUGUUCUCUAUCUUCCGCAGUUGCUGGGAACUGGGUCUUACUCAAUUUAUACCUUGUAAUACUGGCAAGAACCCUUUCUUGGACUGAACCAUUUUGAACUUCUUCAAAACUUUAUCAAGGUAUGUGCUUUGUGAAAGUGCUAUCACGCGUCUCGAUCUAUCCCUAUAGAUCUUAAUGCCUAGAAUGUAAGCAGCUUCUCCUAGGUCCUUCAUUGAGAAAACUUUAUUCAAGUAAUCCUUCAUGCUCUCCAAAAGCUCCACGUUCUUUCCAAUCAGCAAUAUGUCAUCCACAUAUAAUAUUAGAAACACCACAGAGCUCCCACUUACUUUCUUCUAAAUACAAGAUUCUCCAACCACUUGUAUAAGCCCAAAUGCUUUGAUCACCUCAUCGAAGCGCUUAUUCCAACUCCGAGAUGCUUGCACCGGUCAAUAAAUGGAUCGCUGGAGCUUUCACACUUUGUUAGCAUUCUUUGGAUCGGCAAAACCUUCUGGUUCCAUCAUAUACAACUCUUCCUUAAGAAAACCGUUAAAGAACGCAGUUUUGACAGCCAUCUACCAGAUUUCGUAAUCGUAAUUCGUAAAAGGAAGCUAUUGCUAACAUGAUUCGGACAGACUUAAGCAUCGCUACGGUGAGAAUGUCUCAUCGUAGUCAACUCCUUGAACUUGUGAAAAACCCUUUGCCACAAGUCAUGCUUUAUAAACGGUCACAUUCCCGUUUGCGUCCGUCUUCUUCUUAAAGAUCCAUUUGUUCUGAAUAGCCUUGCGUCCUUCAGGUAGUACUUCCAAAGUCCACACUUUGUUUUCGUACAUGGAUCCUAUCUCGAACUUCAUGGCUUCCAGCCAUUCGUUGGAAUCCGGGCCCACUAUUGCUUCUUCAUAAGUCGCAGGUUCAUUGUUAUCUAACAACAUAAUUGAUAACACAGGAUUAUCGUACCACUCACGAGUAGUACGUGAUCUGGUCGACCUGCGAGGUCCGAUAGGAACUUGAUCCGAAGUUUCAUGAUCAUCAUCAUCAACUUCCUCCUCAACCGGCGUUGCAAUGUCAGGGAUUUCCCCUUGCCCUGCGCCACCAUCUAGAGGGAUUAGAGGUUCGACAACCUCAUGAAGUUCUAUCUUCCUCCCACUCAAUUCUUUUGAGAGAAACUUCUUCUCAAGAAUAGCUCCGUUUUUAGCAACAAACACUUUGCCCUCGGAUUUGAGAUAGAAGGUUUACCCAACUGUCUCUUUUGGGUAACCUAUGAAGACACACUUUUCUGCUUUGGGUUCCAGCUUUUCAGGCUUGAAGCUUUUUGACAUAAGCAUCACCUCCCCAAACUUUAAGAAACGGAAAUUUUGGUGUUUUGCCAUGCCACAGUUCGUAUGGUGUCGUCUCAACGGAUUUCGAUGGUGCCCUAUUUAAAGUGAAUGCAGCUGUCUCUAAUGCAUAACCCCAAAAUGAUAAUGGCAAAUCGGUAAGAGACAUCAUAUAUCGCAUCAUCUCUAAUAAAGUAUGAUUACGACGUUCGGACACACCAUUACGCUGGGGUUUUCCACGCGGUGUUAAGUGUGAAACAAUUCCACAUUGUCUUAACUGAGCACCAAACUCGAAACUCAGAUAUUCACCCCCACGAUCAGACCGUAGGAACUUGAUCUUCUUGUUACGAUGAUUUUCAACUUCACUCUGAAAUUGCUUGAACUUCUCAAACAUUUCAAACUUGUGCUUCAUCAAGUAGACAUAACCAUAUCUACUCAAAUCGUCAGUGAAGGUGAGAAAACAACGAUAUCCGCCGUGCGCCUCCACACUCAUCGGACCGCACACAUCGGUAUGUAUGAUUUCCAACAAAACAGUUGCACAAUCCAUUGUUCCAUAGAACGGAGUCUUAGUCAUCUUGCCCGUGAGGCAUGGUUCGCAUGUGUCAAGUGAAUCAAAGUCAAGUGACUCCAAAAGUCCAUCGGAAUGGAGUUUCUUCAUGCGCUUUACACCAAUAUGACCUAAGUGGCAGUGCCACAAAAAGAUGGCGCUAUCAUUGUUAACUCUAACUCUUUUGGUCUUAAUGUUAUGUAUAUGUGUACCAUCGCUAUCAAGAUUCAAUAUGAAGAACGCUCUCACAUUGGGUGCAUGACCAUAAACGAUAUUACUCAUAGAAAUAGAACAACUAUUAUUAUCUGACUUAAACGAGUAUCCGUCUCGCAAUAAACAAGAUCCAGAUAUAAUGUUCAUGCUUACGCAGGCACUAAAUAACAAUUAUUUAAGUUCAUAACUAAUCCUGAUGCUAACUGAAGUGAAACUGUGGCGACGGCGAUUGCAUCAACCUUGGAACCAUUUACCACGCGCAUCGUCACUUCAUCUUUCGCCAGCCUUCGCUUAUUCCGCAGUUCCUGUUUCGAGUUGCAAAUAUGAGCAACAAAACCGGUAUCAAAUACCCACGCACUACUACGAGAACUGGUUAAGUACACAUCAAUAACAUGUAUGUGGAAUAUACCUGAUUUUUCCUUGGCCGCCUUCUUAUCAGCCAAAUACUUGGGGCAGUUGCGGUUCCAGUGACCCAUACCAUUGCAAUAAUAACACUCUUUUUCAGGCUUAGGUCCAGCUUUGGGUUUCUUCGUCAGAUUGGCAACAGGCUUGCCUCUCUUCUUGGAAUUACCCUUCUUUCCUUUGCUGUUUCUCUUGAAACAAGUGGUCUUAUUCACCAUCAACACUUGAUGCUCUUUACGGAGUUCUGACUCUGCGACCUUCAGCAUCACGAAUUACUCGCCGGGUGACUUAUUCAUCCCUUGCAUGUUAUAGUUCAACACAAAGCUCUUGUAGCUUGGUGGCAGUGAUUGAAGAAUUCUGUCAGUGAUAGCCUCUUGCGGGAGUUUAAUCCCCAGCUCAGCUAGAUGGUUUGAGUACCGAGACAUUUUGAGCACAUGUUCACUGACAGACGAAUUCUCCUCCAUCUUGCAAGCGUAGAAUUUAUCGGAGGUCUCAUACCUCUCGAUCCGGGCGUUCUUCUGAAAGAUAAACUUCAACUCCUGGAACAUCUCAAAUGCUCCAUGACGCUCAAAGCGACGUUGAAGCCCGGGCUCUAAGCCAUACAAGACUGCACAUUGAACUACUGAGUAGUCCUCCUUACGUGUUAACCAAGCGUUCUUAACAUAUUGGUCAGCCGUAGCGGGUGGUUCAUAUCCUAGCGCAGGAUUAAGGACAUAAUCCUUAUUUCGAUCUUGCAGGAGCAACUUAAAAUUACGAGCCCAAUCUACAAAGUUGCUUCCAUCAUCUUUCAACUUAGCUUUCUCUAGGAACAUAUUAAAAUUCAGGGUGACUGUCGUGUGAGCCAUUGAUCUACAACACAAAUAUUUCAAAGUGGACUUAGAAUAUGUUCAAGAUAAUUAGAGUUUAACUAAUCAAAUUACUUGUUAAACUCCCACUCAAAAAGUUCAUCUCUCUAGUCAUUUGAGUGGUACAUGAUCCAAAUUCACUAACUCAAGUCCGAUCAUCACGUGAGUUGAGAAUAGUUUUAGUGGUAAGCAUCUCUAUGAUAAUCAUAUCAACUAUACGAUUCAUGCUCGACCUUUCGGUCUCAUGUGUUCCGAGGCCAUGUCUGCACAUGCUCGGCUCGUCAAGCUUAACCCGAGUGUUCCGCGUGUGCAACUGUUUUGCACCGGUUGUAUGUGAACGUUGAGUCUAUCACACCCGAUCAUCACGUGGUGUCUCGAAAGGACGAACUGUAGCAACGGUGCAUAGUCGGGGAGAACACAACUUCGUAUUGAAAUUUUAGUGAGAGAUCAGGUCAUAAUGCUAACGUCGUUCUAAGAAAAAUAAGGUACAUAUAAGGAUUAACAUCACAUGCAAUUCAUAAGUGACAUGAUAUGGCCAUCAUCAUGUGCUUCUUGAUCUCCAUCACGAAAGCACCGACACGAUCUUCUUGUCACCAGUGCCACACCAUGAUCUCCAUCAUCAUGAUCUCCAUCAACGUGCCGCCAUUGAGGUUGUCGUGCUACUUAUGCUAUUACUACUAAAGCUACAUCCUAGCAAUAUAGUAAACGCAUCUGCGAACACAAAUGUUAGUUUGAAGACAACCCUAUGGCUCCUGCCGGUUGUCGUACCAUCGACGUGCAAGUCGAUAUUAACAAUUACAACAUAAUCAUCUCAUAUAUCCAAUAUAUCACAUCACGUCAUUGGCCAUAUCAUAUCACAAGCAUACCCUGCAAAAACAAGUUUGACGUCCUCUAAUUUGUUGUUGCAUGUUUUACGUGGUUGCUAUGGGUAUCAAGUAUGAUCGCAUCUUACUUACGCAAAAACAGCAACGAAGAUGUACAAAUUGCUAUUUAAACUCUCCAAGGACCGCCUCGGUCAAAACCAAUUCAACUAAAGUUGAAGAAACCGACACCCGCUAGUCAUAUUUAUGCAACGAGGUUGCAUGUCAAUCGAUGAAACCAGUAUUUCGUAAGCGUACGAAUAAUGUUGGUCCAGGCCACUUCAAUCCAACAGUACCGCCAAAUCGAGAAAAGACCAAGGAGGGCAGAAAAUUGAACAUCACCGUCCACAAAACCCUUUGUGUUCUACUGGAGAUAACAUCUACGCAUGAACCUAGCUAUGAUACCAUUCAAGGGGAAAUUUGCAUGGGAAAAAAAAUUCCUAAGCACACGAAGACCUAUCAUGGUGAUGUCCAUCGACGAGAGGAGAUUUGGAUCUACGUACCCUUGUAGAUCGCAUAGCAGGAAGCGUUAAGAAAUGCGGUUGAUGUAGUGGAACAUCUUCACGUCCCUCAAUCCACCCCACUAACCGUCCCACGAACCGUCCCGCGAUCCGUCCUACGAUCCGUUCCGAUCUACUGCCGAACGGACGACACCUCCGCGUUCAGCACACGUACAGCUCGACGAUGAUCUCGGCCUUCUUGAUCCAGCAAGCUUGACGGAGAAGUACAUGAGUUCUCCGGCAUCGUGACGACGCUCUGGUUGUGGUGAUGAUCUACUCCUGUAGGGCUCUGCCCGAGCUCCGCAGAAAUCCGAUCUAUCGGUGGAACUAUGAGGUUUAGGGUUGAGUUGCAUGUGGCAAAAGUUGUCUCAAAUCAGCCCUAAAAGACCACUAUAUAUAGGAGGGAGGGGGGAGGAGGCUUUCCUUGAGGGCCAAGAUCUCAAGGGUGCGCCGGCCAAGGAGGAGGUGGACUCCCACCCCAAUUCGGUAUGGGGAAAGGAGUCCACUCCUUCCUUCCCACCUCCCCUUUUUCCUUUUUCCUUUUCUUUUCUUUGGUAUUUUCUUAUGUGGCGCCAUGGGCCCCUUGGGCUGACUCCACCAGCCCACUAGGGACUUGUGGCGCAACCCUAUGGCCUUGGGCUCACUCCUCGGUGGGUGGGCCCCUCCCGGUGAACUCCCGGAACCCAUUCAUCACUCCAGUACAGUGCCGAAAUUGCCUGAAACUUUUCGGUAACCAAAUGAAACCAUCCUAUAUAUCAAUCUUUGUUUCCGGACCAUUCUGGAAACCCUCGUGAUGUUCGUGAUCUCAUCCGAGACUCCGAACAACAUUCGGUAACCACACAUAUAACUCAACUAAACUAAAACAUCGUUGAAACUUAAGUGUGCAGAUCCUGCGGGUUCUAGAACUAUGUAGACAUGCCCCGAGGCACUCCUCGAUCAAUAUCCAAUAGCGGGACCUGGAUGCUGAUAACGCACAAGUAUAGGGGAUCGCAACACUUUUUGAGGGUAGAGUAUUCAACCCAAAUUUUUUGAUUCGACACAAGGGGAAGCCAAAGAAUAUUCUCGAGUAUUAGCAGUUGAGUUGUCUAUUCAACCACACCUGAAAGACUUAGUAUCUGCAGCAAAGUAUCAGGAGCAGAGUAGUGUGAUAGCAAUAGUAGCAACAGUAACAGUAGCAGCAGUGACUGUAAUAGUGACAGAGUAACAGUAGCAACGGUGACAUCAGUAGCGACCGAGUAACAGUAGCAGCAGUGAAAGCAAUAGCGGCAAAGUAACGUAGCAAGGACCAGUAGGAAAAACUCGUAGGCAUUGGAUCGGUGAUGGAUUAUUAUGCCGGAUGUUAUUCAUCAUGCAACAGUUAUAACACGGAGAGAUAUGUAACUAGCUCUAGUUCGUCAAUGUAAUGUAGGCAUGUAUUUCGUAUGUAGUCAUACGCGCUUAGGGAAAAGAACUUGCAUGACAUCUAUUGUCCAUCCCUCCCAUGGCAGUAGGGUCCUAAUGGAAACUACGGGAUAUUAAGGUUCUCCUUUUAAUAGAGAACCGGACAACCGCAUUAACACUUAGUGANACUACAACUUGCAAGAUAAGAUCAAGAACACAAAUAUAUUGGCGGCAACAUAAUAGGUUCAGAUCUGAAAUCAUGGCGCUCGAACAUCAAUCUCAGAACAUAGUGGAUACUAUGGAUCAAUCCCCGUCAAAACUAACUCGAUUACAUGAUAGAUCUCAGCCAACCCAUCACCGUCCAACAAGCAUACGAUGAGAUUACUCAUGAACGGUGAAGAGCAUCAUGGAAUUGGUGAUGAAGGAAGGUUGGUGAUGACGAUGGCGACGAUCUCCCCUCUCCGGAGCCCAGAACGGACUCCACAUCUGCCCUCGAGAAGAAGAACAGGAGGUGGCGGCGCCUCCGUAUCGUUAAAUGCGAUGAACUCUUCUCCUUGAUUUUUUUCUGGACGAAGGGGACUAAAUAGAGCUGGAAUUGGAGGUGGUGGAGCUUCAUGGGCCCCACAAGCCUGCCAGGCGCGGCUAGGGGGGCCGCACUUGGUGGGCGUGUGGGCUCCAUGCUCCACCCCUUCGGUUGAUUCUUGCGCCAGUAUUUUUUAUAUAUUCCACAAAAAAUCCCCGUAAAUUUCCAGGUCAUUCCGAGAACUUUUAUUUCUGCACAAAAACAACACCAUGGCAAUUCUGCUGAAAACAGCGUUAGUCCAGGUCAGUUCCAUUCAAAUCAUGCAAAUUAGANNNNNNNNNNNNNNNNNNNNNNNNNNNNNNNNNNNNNNNNNNNNNNNNNNNNNNNNNNNNNNNNNNNNNNNNNNNNNNNNNNNNNNNNNNNNNNNNNNNNNNNNNNNNNNNNNNNNNNNNNNNNNNNNNNNNNNNNNNNNNNNNNNNNNNNNNNNNNNNNNNNNNNNNNNNNNNNNNNNNNNNNNNNNNNNNNNNNNNNNNNNNNNNNNNNNNNNNNNNNNNNNNNNNNNNNNNNNNNNNNNNNNNNNNNNAUACGACGGAGACGUAUCUACUCCCCCAAGCUUAAAACCUUGCUUGUCCUCAAGCAAUUCAGUUGACAAACUGAAAGAGACAAAAGAAAAACUUUUACGAACUCUAUUUGAUCUUGUUGUUGCAACUAUGUCUAACUCAUAUCCAGAAUUUCAGCAAGAUCACAAGCAAACCUCAUAAGCAAAUGACAUCUAGGUCUCACGGUAAACUCACAUCAAUGGCAUAAUCAACUAGCGAGCAGUAAUAAUGAGUUUCAAACGUCAACACUUCAAUCAAAACAAUCAUGAAGCAGUGUGAACAGAUGGUAUCUCGCUAGCUCUUUCUGAGACCGCAAAACAUAAAUGCAAAGCACCUUCAAAGACCAAGGGCUGACUAAACAUUGUAAUUCAUGGCAAAGAAGAUCCAGUCACAGUCACACUCAAUAUCAGUCAAAAGCAAAGCAUAAAAAUGACAAAGGUGCUCUCUAAUUGGUGCUUUUAUAAGAAGAGAAUGAUUCAACACGAACAUAAAUAGAUAGGCCCUUCACAGAGGAAAGCAUUGAUUUGCAGAGGUGCCAGAGCUCAAGCUUUCAAAACAGAGAUAAUAAUUUUGGGUGGCAUGCUUUCAUUGUCAACGCAAUGACCAAGAGUUUUCACCAUCUUCCAUGCUACACAUACUAUAGGCGGUUCCCAAACCGAAAAGUAAAGUUUUGACUCCCCCAUCACCGAUCAAUCACACUCCACGACUAGCCGAAUAUCGGGUGCCGUCCAUACCAACAUCAAUAGAGGGGGAGUUUUGUUUGCAAUUAUAUUUUCGAUUUGAGCACGGAACUGGGCAUUCCAAUUACCGGCCCCUUUCUCGUGAAUGAUAGUGAAUAAACACGCAACGAGAAUAACACGCCUAACAUGGAAGAUACUGAUAGCCCCCUGUCACCACAUGAGCGGUUCAGGCAUGCAAAACAGAUUAUUUAUUGAAGAUUUAGAGAGUGGCACAUGCAAAUUUACUUGGAACGGUAGGUAUAUGCCGCAUAUAGGUAGGUAUGGUGGACUCAUAUGGAACAACUUUGGGUUUGUGGAAGUGGAUGCACAAGCAGUAUUCCCGCUUAGUACAAGCGAAGGCUAGCAAAAGACUGGGAAGCGACCAACUAGAGUGCAACAACAAUUAUUAAAAUUCUUUGAGACUAACCAACAUUGAGUGCAAGCAUGAGUAGGACCUAAAUCACCAUGAACAUGAAUAUCAUAGAGGCUAUGUUGAUUUUGUUUCAAUUGCAUGCGUAAACAUGCGCCAAGUCAAGCAACUUGAAUCAUUCAAAGGAGGAUACCAUCCUAUCAUACUACAUCAUAAUCAUCUCAAGAUUCAUGUUGGCAUCCAAGACAAAGCAUUAUAAGCUCCUAGCUAAUUAAGCAUGACAUCAGAAACUAUGAUCUCUAAGUUGUCAUUGCAAACAUGUUUCUCUCACAACAAAGCUGAACUAGAAACGAUGAGCUAGUCAUAUUUACAAAAACAAAAUAGAUCGAGUUCAUACCAGCUUUUCCAAGCUCAGUCACUUCAUCAUAUAUCGUCAUUAUUGCCUUUCACUUGCAUGACCGAAUGAUGUGAACAAUAAUAAGAGUGCUCGUGCAUUGGACUAAGCUGGAAUCUGCAGGCAAACACAAAGGAGAAGACAAAGUAAUAUGGCUCUUUGAAAGAUAAACAGAUAUGCAUGCGAGAGCCACUAAACAUGGUAACCAUGGUCUUAUACCUUGACCCAAAGAAAAACAAAACUGUUUACACGGGAAAGCUCCCAAAAAGCAAAAGAAGAACAAGAAAUCUUUUUGAGUUUUCUCAAACUAGACAAACACAUGAGAAGAAAACGAGAAAAAGAAAUAAACUAGCAUGGAUGAUACAGUGGCAAAGUGUGAACAUCGACUAACAAAGUGAAAGUGUAAGCAAGAAUAUAAAGUCGGUGAGAUUCACGUACUCCCCCAAGCUUAGGCUUUUGGCCUAAGUUGGUCUACUCCCAAGGUGGGAAGUAACCGUCUCUGGGGUACUCCGGAGUGGACCGAGGGUGCCACUGAUGUGUGAGCUUCUCUGGCUCCCACUGAUAAACUAGCGUUUGGUACUCGACUGGUAGCUCGGGCACGGGCGCCUGUGGUUGGGCUAUGCCCCAAUAUGCGUAGAUGUCUGAGGGCAUAAUAAUGUACCUGCCUAGAUGAAGAUUGAACAAAGAAGGAGCAGGCAAGGUAAUAGUAUCACGAGUACCCUGACUAAAUACCAGGUUAUAAAUCAUCCUCUUAUUUAUAUCUUCAUCAAGAAAGUCAUGGCGAACCAUGCUAUCAUAAUCUAGAUAUCUCUCAGGAAGAAGAAUCUCUUCUUCCUCGUCCGGUCUAAUAGGUAUCUCAAAAUGUCUAGCAAGAUGAGUAGCACAGAUACCUCCAUAAACAACGCUUUUAGAACGGUUCGUGUUCAACCGUUGAGCUACUAUAGCGCCCAAGCUAUAAGUUUUGUCAUUAUAAAGGGCUUCGCGCAAAACCGCAAGAUCUGGGGAGCUAAGGGCCCCAUCUUUCCCACGGCCAAUCAAACAUUUUCCCACGAAUAAUGAGUAGUACCAAAGCACAGGAAAAUGUAUGCUAGCAGCUCUAGCGCAAGACACUCCUCUCUCCUCUCCUACAACAAUAGUAUCGAUGAAAUCCUCCAAGUCCCGUGGACGAGGUUCAUGAAUAUCCCCAACAUAAGGUAAUUUGCAAACAUUGCAAAAAUCCUGAAGUGACAUGCGCUGGGGGAUAUCAUAUAAUUUGAACUCAACCAUAGGAGGACUCUUCCUUGGAUAGAAGUUAAAGUUUUGCACGAAAACAUUAGUGAGGAGGAGGUAUUGUGGACACUUAUCUUCAACGAAGGCAGUAAGGCCUGUGUUCUCCACCAAGUAGUCAAAGUCCUCAUAAAGUCCGGCGACGCGUAAGAACACAUCGUUUGGCCACUCGCACGCUCGAACUUCUGCAACUCGGGGAACCAGAUACUUGGGUUUCUUCUUCUCAUGUUCGUCAUCCUUGGGGUCACGGCUUGAAGAGCCUCUUAAGAACCUCCUCAUCUUUUCCUUUUUAUUUCUCUGAAAAUUUAUGAAAUUUAAUGACUCUAAGGAAAAGUGAACAAGGCCCAACGAAACUCGUAGCAACUACUCCUUCAAGUGCCUAGAGUCCAUGUCACGCAUCAAAGCUACUUGGGACCAGCUAAAAUUAGCAUGCAAAGCUCAAGAAUAGGGUCACCGAGGCCGCAAAAAUAAGCGACGUAUAGGGCACUAGAGCAAAAACUAAUUGGACCAAUGGAGGAGUCACAUACCAAGGAGCAAUUUCCCCAAAACAGUUUGGUGAAUGGGGCUUUGCACAAGGAGAUCGAAAAUCGCAGCAAGAAGAGCAAGAACACGGGAUUGAGUUGUGAAACGAUUUUUUCUGGAAGUAGGAGAAGUAGAUGGGAGCUAGAAUGAGUGGAGGGGGUACACGUGGGCCCCACAAGCCUGGUAGGCGCGGCCAGGGGGGUGCCCGCACCUCCAGGGCUUGUGGACCACUCGUGCAGCCCCCUGACUAGCUCUCCGUCUCAGAAUUUUUCAAAAAUUCCAGAAAAAAUCAUCCUUGAUUUUAACGGCAUUCGGAGAACUUUUAUUUUCGGGGUACUUUUCUACGGGACGCUAAAAGCAGAAAACAGGAGACACUAAAGCUAAAUCUAUCAUUUUUCCUUCUAAGCAACCGAAGGUGAAAGCUUGGAACGGAGGUUUGUGACUCCUCGAUUCAUCCAUCUCAUGUCAUCAAAAGAAAUCCGUCAAUGAGGUUGAUGAAGUCUCCUUGACAAACUUUUUCGAAUCGCAAAAGAAAAUGGAGAAUAUUCGAAUAGCCACUAGGUUACUGAUACGUCCAUUUUGCAUCAUGUUUUCAUGUUGAUAUUUAUCGCUUCUUUGGCUGUUAUUCCACUUCACGGUACAAUUCUUAUGCCUUUUCUCUCUUAUUUUGCAAGGUUUACAUGAAGAGGGAGAAUACCGGCAACUGGAAUUAUGGCCUGAAAGUGGAGCAAAGUUGAGAUACAUAUUCUGCGCAACUCCAAACGCCGUGAAAAUCAACGGAGAUUUUUUUCCCAAUUUUUAAAAAAUACUGGGCCGAAGAACUGCCGGAGGGGCACCAGGGGGUGCCCACAAGCCUACACAGCGCGGCCAUCCCCCCAGGGCGCGCCAUGGGGGCUUCUAGGCAGCCCACUGGCCCAUUGGCCCCCCUCUUUUGCUAUAUGGAGGGUUUCAUCGAGGAAAAAAUCAGAAGGGAGCUUUUUCGUGGUUUCGCCGCCGCCACGAGGUGGAACUUGAGCAAAACCAAUCUGGAGCUCCGGCAGGACGAUCCUGUCGGGGAAACUUCCCUCCCGGAGGGAGAAAUCGUCGCCAUCGUCAUCACCAACACUCCUCUCAUCGGCACCAUCUCAUCUCCAAACCCUAGAUCAUCUCUUGUAACCAAUCUCCGUCUCGCGACUCCGAUUGGUACUUGUAAGGUUGCUACUAGUGUUGAUUACUCUUUGUAGUUGAUGCUAGUUGGAUUACUUGGUGGAAGAGUUUAUGUUCAGAUCCUUGAUGCUACUCAUUGCACCUCUGAUGAUGAUUAUGAUUAUGCUUUGUGAGUAGUUACUUUUGUUCCUGAGGACAUGGGAUAAGUNAGUGACAGAAGCUUAAACCCUAGUUUAUGUGUUACUUCGUAAGGGGCUGAUUUGGAUCCACUAGUUUAAUGCUAUGGUUAGACUUUGUCUUAAUUCUUCUUUCGUAGUUGCGGAUGCUUGCGAGAGGGGUUAAUCAUAAGUGGAAUUCUUGUCCAAGUAAGGGCAGUACCCAAGCGCCGGUCCACCCAAAUAUCAAACUAUCAAAGUAACGAACGCGAAUCGUAUGAACAUGAUGAAACUAGCAUGACAGAAAUUCCCGUGUGUCCUCGGGAGCGUUUUUCCUCCUAUAAGAGUUUGUCCAAGCUUGUCCCUUGAGACAAAAGGGGUUGGGCCACUUUGCUGCACCAUUGCUACUUUUGUUACUUGUUGCUUGCUACGAAUCAUCUCACCACACAAUCACUUGUUACCGACAAUUUCAGUGCUUGCAGAUUUUUCCUUGCUGAAAACCAAUUGUCAGAUCCUUCUGCUCCUCGUUGGGUUCGACACUCUUACUUAUCGAAAGGACUAGGAUUGAUCCCCUAUACUUGUGGGUCGUCAAGACUCUUUUCUGGCGCCCUUGCGGGGAGUGAAGCGCCUUUGGUAAGUGGAACUUGGUAAGGAAACAUACAUAUAGUGUGCUGAAAUUUGUUGUCACUUGUCACUAUGGAUACUAAUCCUUUGAGGGGCUUGUUCGGGGUAUCUUCACCUCGAACGGAAGCACAGAGAGUUGCUCCUCAUCCUGCUGCACCUACUGAAAUUAUUUGCUUUGAAUUUCCUUCGUGUAUGCUUGAGAAACUGCUGGCUAAUCCUUUUACAAGAGAUGGAACAUCACAUCCAGACUUGCAUCUGAUCUAUGUAGAUGAGGUUUGUGGUUUAUUUAAGCUUGCAGGUGUGCCCGAGGAUGAGGUCAAGAAGAAGGUCUUUCCUUUAUCUUUGAAGGAUAAGGCGUUGACAUGGUAUAGGCUAUGUGAUGAUACUGGAUCAUGGGACUACAAUCGGUUGAAAUUGGAAUUUCAUCAAAAGUUUUAUCCUAUGCAUUUAAUACAUCGUGAUCGGAAUUAUAUUUAUAAUUUUUGGCCUUGUGACAGAGAAAGCAUCUCUCAAGCUUGGGGAGGCUUAAAUCAAUGCUAUAUUCAUGCCCCAAUCAUGAGCUCUCGAGAGAAACUAUCAUUCAGAACUUCUAUGCUCGACUUUCUCAUGAUGAUCGCACCAUGCUUGACACUUCUUGUACCGGUUCUUUUAUGAAGAGAGAUAUUGACUUCAAAUGGAAUUUAUUGGAGAGAAUUAAACGCAACUCUGAAGAUUGGGAGCUUGAAGAAGGUAAGGAGUCAGGUAUGAAUUUCACUUUUGAUUGCGUUAAAUCCUUUGUUGAGACAAAUACUUUUUGUGACUUUAGCGCUGAGUAUGGGCUUGACUCUCAGAUAGUACCUUCAUUGUGUGAAUCAUUUGCUGCUCAUAUUGAUCUCCCCAAAGAGAAGUGGUUUAAAUAUCAUCCUCCGUUAGAAGUCAAUGUAGUUAAACCCACUCUAGUUGAAGAGAGAGUCAUUGCCUAUAAUGAUCCUGUGGUUCCCAGUGCUUACAUUGAGAAACCACCUUUCCCUGUUAGGAUAAAGGAUCAUUCUAAAGCUUCAAUUGUGAUACGUAGAGGCUAUAUUAGAACACCUACACCCCCUGAGCAAAUUAGAGUUGAAUCUAGCAUUGCUAUUAUCAAAGAUCUUCUGUCCGACGAUGUUGAGGGACAUAAUAUUCACUUUUGUGAAGAUGUUGCUAGAAUUGCUAACCUCACGCUAGAGACAAACAUAGGUCUGUUGUUGGCAUGCGUGUUGUUUCUGUUAAGAUAGGAGAUCAUUGUUAUCAUGGCUUAUGUGACGUGGUGCUAGUGUUAGUGCAAUACCUCAAUCCUUAUAUGAUGAAAUCAAAGAUGAGAUUACACCUGUUGAGAUAGAGCCUAUUGAUGUCACUAGUCAGCUUGCCAAUAGAGAUACUAUCUGCCCUGUAGGAAUUGUUAGGGAUGUUGAAGUCUUGUGUGGUAAAACGAAGUAUCCUGCUGAUUUCCUCGUUCUUGCUACCGCUCAAGAUAGCUUUUGUCCCAUCAUAUUUGGCAGACCUUUUCUCAAUACCGUCAAUGCUCAUAUUGAUUAUGAGAAGCAAACUGUCACUGUUGGCUUUGAAGGUGUGUCACAUGAGUUCAAUUUCUCUAAGUUUGGUAGACAACCUCAUGAAAAGGAGUUGCCUAGUAGGGAUGAAACUAUUGCCUUAGCCUCUAUUGUCGUGCCUCCUACUGAUCCCUUAGAGCAAUAUUUGCUUGAGCAUGAAAAUGAUAUGCAUAUGGAUGAAAGGGAUGAAAUAGAUAGAAUUGUCUUAGAACAAUAUCCUAUCCUUAAGAAUAGUGUGCCUGUUGAACUGCUUUGGGAUCCACCCCCACCGAAGGGUGAUCCUGUGUUCGAGCUUAAACAGUUGCCUGAUACUCUUAAGUAUGCCUAUCUUGAUGAAAAAGAGAUAUAUCCUAUUAUUAUUAGUGCUAGCCUCUCGGAGCAUGAAGAAAAGAAGUUACUAAAAACUCUGAGGAAGCAUCGUGCUGCUAUAGGAUAUACUCUUAAUGAUCUUAAGGGCAUUAGUCCCACUCUAUGCCAGCAGAAAAUCAAAAUUGAUCUUGAAUUCAAACCAGUUGCUGAUCAUCAAAGGAGAUUGAAUCCUAAGAUGAAAGAAGUAGUGAGAAAAGAAAUACUAAAGCUCCUGGAAGCGGGUAUUAUCUAUCCUGUUGCUCAUAGCGAUUGGGUGAGUCCGGUGCAUUGCAUACCUAAGAAGGGAGGCAUCACCGUUGUCCCUAAUGAUAAGGAUGAGUUGAUCCCACAAAGGAUUAUUACUGGCUAUAGGAUGGUGAUUGAUUUUAGGAAGUUGAAUAAGGCCACUAGGAAAGAUCAUUACCCUGUGCCUUUUAUCGACCGAAUGCUAGAAAGGCUAUCUAAACACACACACUUCUGCUUUCUAGGCGGUUAUUCUCGUUUCUCCCAAAUACCAGUUGCACAAUUUGAUGAGGAGAAAACCACUUUCACUGCCCUUUCGUUACCUUUGCUUAUAGAAAUAUGCCUUUUGGCUUAUGUAAUGCACCUGCCACCUUUCAAAGAUGUAUGAUGGCUAUAUUCUCUGACUUAUGUGAAAAGAUUGUCGAGGUUUUCAUGGAUUGACUUUUCCGUUCACGGGUCUUCUUUUGAUGAUUGCCUCAGCAACCUUGAUCGAGUCUUACAGAGAUGUAAAGACACCAAUCUUGUCUUGAAUUGGGAGAAGUGCCACUUUAUGGUUAAUGAAGGCAUCGUCUUAGGACAUAAAAUUUCUGAAAGAGGUAUUGAAGUCGAUAAGGCUAAGGUUGAUGCAAUUGAGAAAAUGUCAUAUUCCGCAGAUAUCAGAGGUAUAAGAAGUUUCCUUGGUCAUGCUCGUUUCUAUAGAAGGUUCAUUAAAGACUUCUCUAAGAUUUCUAGGCCUCUUACCAAUCUCUUGCAAAAGGAUAUUCCUUUUGUUUUUGACGAUGAUUGUGAGGAAGCCUUCGAAAUACUUAAGAAGGCUUUGAUAACUGCACCUAUUGUUCAACCACCUUAUUGGAACUUGCCGUUUGUAAUCAUGUGUGAUGCUAGCGAUUACGCUGUUGGUGCUAUUCCUGGGCAAAGAGUUGAUAAGAAGUUGAAUGUUAUUCACUACGCUAGUAAAACUCUAGACAGUGCCCAGAGAAACUGUGCUACUACGGGGAAGUAAUUUUUAGCAGUCGUAUUUGCAUGUGAAAAGUUCAGGUCUUACAUAGUUGAUUCCAGUCACUAUUCACACUGAUCAUGCUGCUAUUAAGUACCUCAUGGAGAAGAAGGACGCUAAACCUAGACUUAUCAGAUGGGUUCUCUUGCAACAAGAAUUUGAUCUGCACGUUGUUGACAGAAAGGGUGCUGAUAAGCCAGUAGCGGAUAAAUUGUCUAGGUUGGAGAACGUUCUUGAUGACCCACAACCUAUUGAUGAUAGCUUUCCCGAUGAGCAAUUGAAUGUCAUCAAUGCUUCACGUAGUGCACCGUGGUAUGUUGAUUAUGCAAACUAUAUCGUUGCCAAAUACAUACCACCUAGUUUCACGUACCAGCAAAAGAAGAAAUUCUUGUUUGACUUGAGACACUACUUUUGGCAAGAUCCUCACCUUUAUAAGGAAGGAGUAGACGGUGUUAUUAGACGUUGUGUACCUGAACAUGAACAAGGACAGAUCCUACAGAAGUGUCACUCCGAGGCCUACGGAGGACACCAUGCGGGAGAUAGAACUGCACACAAGGUAUUGCAAUCAGGUUUCUAUUGGCCCACUCUCUUCAAGGAUGCCUGUAAGUUUGUCUUGUCUCGUGACGAAUGUCAAAGAAUAGGUAAUAUUAGCAAACGCGAGGAAAUGCCUAUGAACUAUUCACUUGUCAUUGAACCAUUUGAUGUUUGGGGCUUUGAUUAUAUGGGACCUUUUCCAAAUCCAACGGGUAUACUCACAUCUUAGUUCCUGUUGUUUACGUCACUAAGUGGGUAGAAGCUAUCCCCACUAGUAGUGUUGAUCACAACACCUCUAUCAAGAUGCUGAAAGAAGUUAUCUUCUCUAGAUUUGGAGUCCCUAGAUAUCUGAUGUCUGACGGUGGUUCACACUUCAUUCAUGGUGCUUUCCGUAAAACGCUUGCUAAGUAUGAUGUCAACCAUAGAAUUUUGUCUCCCUAUCACCCUCAGUCGAGUGGUCAAGUAGAGCUAAGUAAUAGAGAGAUUAAAAUGAUUCUGCAAAAGACUGUCAACAGGUCUAGAAAGAAUUGGUCUAAGAAGCUCGAUGAUGCACUGUGGGCUUAUAGAACUGCCUAUAAGAAUCCCAUGGGCAUGUCUCCGGACAAAAUGGUGUAUGGGAAACCAUGUCAUUUACCUCUUGAGCUAGAACAUAAAGGUUAUUGGGCAAUCAAAGAGCUCAACUUUGAUUUCAAACUUGCCGGUGAGAAGAGGUUAUUUGAUAUUAGCUCGCUUGAUGAGUGGAGGACUCAGGCAUAUGAGAAUGCCAAACUCUUCAAAGAGAAGGUUAAGAGGUAGCAUGAUAAGAGGAUACAAAAGCGUGAGUUCAAUGUAGCUGAUUAUGUCUUGCUAUAUAACUCUCGUUUAAGAUUCUUUGCAAGCAAGCUCCACUCUAAAUGGGAAGGUCCCUAUGUUGUUAAGGAAGUAUAUCAUUCCUGUGCUAUCAAGAUCAACAACACGGAAGGUAAUUGUCCGAGAGUGGUAAAUGGACAGAGAAUCAAGCAUUAUAUCUGAGGUACUCCCAUAAAUGUUGAAAGCAAUAUCAUCAAUACCAUAACUCCGGAAGAAUACCUAAGGGACAUUUAUCAGCCUGUUUCAGACUACGAAAACAAAGAGGUAUGUUAUUCGGUAAAAAAACAGAGUCCAAAACUUUCCCAAUAGGAAAUUUUCUCCGUUUUGGAAUAUUUGAAAAAAAAUACAAAAAUUGGAAGUAGUCCGGAAAGUGCGUGAGGAGGCGACAAGCCUGCACGGCGCGGGCCCACCCCCUGGCCGCACCGUGAGGGCUUGUGGCCACCUCGUGCGCCUCCCGAACUCCGUUUUCGUGCAGGGGAUUCCUUCUGGUCUGGAAAAAUUCAUUAUAUAUACUUCCGUUUGGUCUGACCCCUGCAUCACGCAGAUUUCCUCUAUUUUUCGUUUCGAGCCUGUUUUGUGCCACAGAUCUAGGUCAAGAUGUCGUCCCACGAAUCUGUGGGGGAGAACAACCUCCGUCAAAUCUAUGGGGAAGUUCAUGCUGAUCUGAAAAGGAUGGAGGUCAUGGAGGCUAGAGAGAGGCUACCUAAAGAAAACAAGGGCAAAGCCAAGGAGAAGGAUCAGGCAUGAGAUGAAGUGCAAUCUGUGCUCAACAAGGAAGAAGUUGAAGGAGUGGAUUUCCUCCAACCGUACCUCCGCCUACUGUCUCCAUCCUUGAUUGAACUCUUGAGGUUUUGUGAAACAACUCGUGCUCGCAAUACUUGUCUCACCCGUGAAGUUGUUUUGCUGGAAAAACAUAUCGCCGAUCUCCAAGGCAUAAAUCAAAGAUUAAUGGCCCUCUUGGAGUCAAAGAUUGCAACAACUCCACCUUCACCGCCAAAGGAAGACAACUGAGUAUUGGUAUGGCCAGUCCCCUUGGUUGUGGCAAGCUUGGGGGAGUUGCCCUUGUAUCGUAUCACCUUCACAUAUUUUGCCUUUACCUUUGUUUUAGUUUUCCUUUUCAGUUUUCUCUUUCUCUUUUAGUUUAAAAGUCUUAGUGUUUUAGUCUUGAGUUUUGCCUUGUGUCACCCCCGAUGUAUUCUUGCUCGUCAGCCUUAUAAUAAAGAUUGUCUUAGUUGAAGGGCUUUGCCUCUUGCCAUGAUCAAAAGAGUGAGAAUAGAACAAAAGCAUGAAAGAUCAUGUAAUGAUCUUAUGGGAAGUGAUGGCCUCACAUAUAAAAAGAAUGACGAUUGAAACUUGUUGAGGGUAGGCAAACGUAGACAUUGGUCAUUGUUGCAAUUAAUAGGAAGUGAUAAGGAAGGAGAGGUUCACAUAUAAAUGUAUCAUCUGUGACACCAUCUAUGAUUGUGAACACUCACUAAACUAUUACAUGCCUAGAAGUAGAUGUUGUACAAGGAAGACAACAUAAUGAAUUGUGUUUGCUUGGCUCUGAACAAUGUUAUAUGAUUAGAGAUCCCUUAGCAUGUGACGAUUGCUUCCACCUCACAAUAGCCAAAACUCCCGCACCAAGUAGAGAUAAUACUUGUGCAUCCAUAAACCUUCAACCCAGUUUAGCCAUGAGUGUCCACCAUACCUACCUAUGGAUUGAAUAAGAUCCCUCAAGUAAGUUGUCAUUGGUGCAAGCACUAAAAAUUGCUCUCUAAUAUGUAUGAUCUAUUAGUGUGUGGAAAAUAAGCUUUGUACAAACCUGUGAUGACGAAGACAUAAAAGCGACAGACUGCAUAAUAAAGUUCGUUAUCACAAGGGGCAAUACAAAGUGACGUUCCUCCGCACUAAGAGGACACACAUCCAAACCUCAAAAGCGCAUGACAACCUGUGCUUCCCUCUGCGAAGGGCCUAUCUUUUACCUUUACUUUUUGCACUUGAAAGAGUCAUGGUGAUCUUCACCUGUUCCUUUUUUUGCCUUUGUCUUGGCUACCGUCACAUGCUUGGGAAAGAUCUAUAUUCAUAUGUCAACUUGGAGGUAAGUAUCCAUGAAUUAUUAUUGUUGACAUUAGCCUUGAGGUAAGCAGUUGGGAGGCUAAUAUAAGCCCAUAUAUUUAUCUGUGUUCAGCUGAAACUUUGAUCUCAUGAGUACCACGUGAGUUGUAGCAAUUGUAGAGAAUGAAAGAUUGAUUGAGUAUGUGGAUUUGCUUUACAAGCUCUUAUUUGACUCUUUCCCAUGUUGUGAUAAAUUGCAAUUGCUUCAAUGACUAAAGGCUAUUGGUUGUUACUUCUCGGUAAGGUUCUUGAUCCAUGCUUUACUUUGUGAAGGAAUUAUCACUUUAGCAUGAGAGAUUAUAUGUUGGUAUCAUGUUCUGAUCAUGAUCAUGAUGCAUGCAUGUUCGUAUCUUGUGUUGUCGACCCCUCUCUCCCUAAAGCUGUGGACAUAUUUAUUGAGCUCGGCUUUCGCUUGAGGACAAGCGAGGUCUAAGCUUGGGGGAGUUGAUACGUCCAUUUUGCAUCAUGUUUUCAUGUUGAUAUUUAUCGCUUCUUUGGCUCUUAUUUCACUUCACGGUACUAUUCUUAUGCCUUUUUCUCUGUUAUUUUGCAAGGUUUACAUGAAAAGGGAGAAUACCGGCAACUGGAAUUCUGGCCUGAAAGUGGAGCAGAGUUGAGAUACCUAUUCUGCGCAACUCCAAACGUCGUGAAAAUCAAAGGAGAUUUUUUCCCAAUUUAUAAAAAAUACUAGGCCGAAGAAGUGCCGGAGGGGCACCAGGGGGUGCCCACAAACCUGCACGGCGCGGCCACCCCCCCAGGCCGCGCCAUGGGGGCUUAUGGGCAGCCCACUGGCCCGCUGGCCCCCCUCUUUUGCGAUAUGGAGGGUUUCAUCCAGGAAAAAAAAUAGAUGGGAGCUUUUUCGUGGUUUCGCCGCCGCCACGAGGCGGAACUUGAGCAGAACCAAUCUGGAGCUCCGGCAGAACGAUCCUGCCGGGGAAACUUCCCUCCCGGAGGGGGAAAUCAUCGCCAUCGUCAUCACCAACACUCCUCUCAUCGCAGGGGACUCGUCACCAUCAACAUCUUCAUCAGCACCAUCUCAUCUCCAAACCCUAGUUCAUCUCUUGUAACCAAUCUCCGUCUCGCGACUCCGAUUGGUACUUGUAAGGUUGCUAGUAGUGUUGAUUACUCUUUGUAGUCGAUGCUAGUUGGAUUACUUGGUGGAAGAGUUUAUGUCCAGAUCCUUGAUUCUACUCAUUACACCUCUGAUCAUGAUUAUAAUUAUGCUUUGUGAGUAGUUACUUUUGUUCUUGAGGACAUGGGAUAAGUNAGUGACAGAAGCUUAAACACUAGUUUAUGCGUUACUUCGUAAGGGGCUGAUUAGGAUCCACUAGUUUAAUGCUAUGGUUAGACUUUAUCUUAAUUCUUCUUUCGUAGUUGCGGAUGCUUGCGAGAGGGGUUAAUCAUAAGUGGGAUGUUUUUCCAAGGGCAGUACCCAAGCGCCGGUCCACCCACAUAUCAAACUAUCAAAGUAACGAACGUGAAUCGUAUGAACAUGAUGAAACUAGCAUGCCAUAAAUUUCCGUGUGUCCUCGGGAGCGUUUUUUCUCCUAUAAGAGUUUGUCCAGGCUUGUCCCUUGCUACAAAAGGGAUUGGGCCACUUUUUUGCAUCAUUGCUACUUUUGUUACUUGUUGCUUGGUACGAAUCAUAUCACCACACAAUCACUUGUUACAGACAAUUUCAGUGCUUGUAGAUUUUUCCUUGCUGAAAACCACUUGUCAGAUCCUUCUCCUCCUCGUUGGGUUCGACACUCUUACUUAUCGAAAGGACUACGAUUGAUCCCCUAUACUUGUGGAUCAUCAGUUACCUCAAUGGGGUUGUGCAUAUCCCCAACAAGCAAAUCAUACUUCAUCUUAAUAGUUGGUAUAGGGCAUUCAAAGCUCCCAAUAAGAAUCGAUGAAGUUUUUUCGAUAGCGUUGAUGCAAUGUACUCGAUAUUGUUUCUUCGGAAAGUGCACCGUAUGCUCAUUACUGUUGACAUGGAAAGUGACAUUGCCUUUGUUGCAAUCUAUAACAGCCCCUGCAGUGUUUAAAAAGGGUCUUCCAAGGAUGACCUCCAUGGGAUCAUCCUCGGGAAUAUCCAGAAUAACAAAGUCUGUUAAGAUAGUGACGUUAGCAACCACAAUAGGCACAUCCUUGCAAAUGCCGAUAGGGAAAGAAGUUGAUUUGUCGGCCAAUUGUAGAGAGAUUUCAGUGGGUGUCAACUUAUCCAAUUCAAGUCUACGAUAAAGAGAGAGAGGCAUAACAUUAACACCGGCUCCAAGGUCACAUAAAGAAGUUCUAACGUAGUUGCCUUUAAUGAAACAAGGUAUAGUGGGCACUCCGGGAUCACCUAGUUUCUUAGGAGUUCCACCCUUGAAGGUAUAAUUAGCGAGCAUGGUGGUAAUCUCAACCUCAUGUAUCCUCCUCUUAUUAGUCACAAUAUUUUUCAUGUACUUAGCAUACAGAGACAUUUUGAGCAUAUCUGUCAAAUGCAUUUGUAGAAAGACAGGUCUGACCAUUUCAACAAAUCGCUGAAAAUCCUAAUCAACCUUUUUCUUUGAUGGUUUGGGAGGAAAGGGCAUGGGUUUCUGAACCCAUGGUUCCCUUUCUUUACUAUGCUUCCUAGCAACGAAGUCGUUCUUAUCGUAUCUCUUACUCUUAGGUUGUGGGUUAUCAGGAUCAACUGGUUCAAUCUCCACAUCCUUAUCAUUGCUAGGUUGAGCAUCAACAUGAACAUCACUAUCCAUAUUAUCAAUAGGCUCAUGUUCAUCACCAGAUUGUGUUUUGGCAUCAGAGACAGAGACAUUGUUUGGACUCUCAGGUUAAACAACAAUAGGGUUGCUAGCGUGCAAGUUCCUAUCAUCUUUGUUCUUCUUUCUAGGAUGACCAGGUGCAUCAGUGCUAACUCCUUGAGAAUCUUGUUCAAUUCUCUUAGGAUGACACUCAAGAUACAAAGGUUCCUGGGUCAUUCUACCGCUUCUAGUGAUGACUCUAACGGAAUUGUCAUUCAACUCAUUGAGCAAGUCAUUCUGAGCCUUAAGUACUUGUUCACCCUGAGUAGUAACCAUAGAGGCAUGUUUACUCAAGAGCUUAAGAUCAUUGACGUUUCUGUCCACACAAUCACUUAAAUGACUAAGCAUACGAGCAUUCUGUUCCAACUGUCGGCUAAUAUAAUCAUUGAAACUUUGUUGUUUGUCAACAAAGUUAUCAAAUUCAUCCAGGCCUAAGCUAGCAGGUUUAUCAAAAGGAAUAUCACUCUCAUUGAAUCUACGAAGAGAAUUUACCUCUACUACCUGUAUCGGGUUAUCAAGACCAUGGAUCUCUUCGAUAGGUGGUUGAUUUUUGACAUCUUCAGAUUUAAUGCCUUUCUCUUUCAUAGAUUUCUUACCUUCUUGCAUAUCUUCAGGACUGAGGAAUAAAAUACUUCUUUUCUUAGGAGUUGGCUUCGGAGGUGGUUCGGGAAUAGUCCAAGCAUUCUCAUUGCACAAGAUGUUAUUCAAUAGGAUCUCAACUUGUUCUACGGUUCGUUCCCUAAAAACACAACCAGCACAACUAUCUAGGUGGUCUCUAGAAGCAUUGGUUAUUCCAUUAUAAAAGAUAUCAAGUAUUUCAUUCUUCUCAAGAGGGUGAUCACGCAAAGCAUUCAGUAGCUGGACGAGCCUCCCCCAAGCUUGUGGGAGACUCUCUUCUUCAACAUGCGCAAAGUUGUAUAUUUCCUGCAAGGCAGCUUGCUUCUUAUGGGCAGGGAAAUAUUUCUCAGAGAAGUAGUAGAUCAUAUUCUGGGGGCUACGCACACAACUAGGAGCAAGAGAGGUGAACCAAGUCUUAGCAUCAUCCUUUAGCGAGAAAGGAAACAGCUUAAGGAUAUAGUAGUGGCGGAUCUUUUCCUCAUUCGUGAAUAGGGUGGCUAUAUCGUGCAGUUUGGUAAGAUGGGCUACAACCGUUUUAGACUCAUAACCGUGGUGAUUAACUCAGGGUCGACAGAGAAUUCAUAAUCCUUAUCGGUCACAAAGAUAGGCGAAGUAGCAAACUUCGGGUCGUAUUUCAUCCUAGCGUUCAAAGAUUUUUCUUUUCACUUGCGGAGUAAUUUCUCAACAUCGUAGCUAUACUUACAAGCAAGAAAGUCCUCAGCUAUCUCUCCCUCCGUAACAUAACGCUUAGGCAUAUCAGGCAAUUCAUAUCUAGGAGAGCUAGUUCUAACAGGCAAAAUAGCAGGUUCUACUUCAAUAAUCUCAGCAGUUUCAGAAGUAUCAUCACAUCUAGCAGCAACUCUAGCAAUUUGUGCAUCAAGGAAUGCACCUAGUGGCAAAGCAGUAUCAAGCAUAGAAUCAUCACAAGUAUCAUCGACGACAGAAGUAGCAUCAUCAAGCACAGGCGACACAUCAAAAUUUCUAGCACGAGGUGGUGUCGCAAACUUACUCAUAACUGAAGGUGAAUCAAGUGCAUAGCUAGAUGGCAGUUCCUUACCUGUCCUCGUAGUUGAGGGCAAGACUUUAGUUCUUGGAUCUUUCGGAUUCCUCAUAGUGAUCAACAGACGUAAAUCCCAAGUGACUCAUAGAAUAUGGCUAUGCCUCCCCGGCAACGGCGCUAGAAAAAGGUCUUGAUAACCCACAAGUAUAGGGAUCGCAACAGUUUUCGAGGGUAGAGUAUUCAACCCAAAUUUGUUGAUUCGACACAAGGGGAAGCCAAAGAAUAUUCUCGAGUAUUAGCAGUUGACUUGUCAAUUCAACCACACCUGAAAGACUUAGUAUCUGCAGCAAAGUAUCAGUAGCAGAGUAGUGUGAUAGCAACAGUAGCAACAGUAACAGUAGCAGCAGCGACAUCAAUAGCAACAGAGUAACAGUAGCAGCGGUGACAGCACUGGCGAUAGAGUAACAGUAGCAGCAGUGACAUCAGUAGCGGCAAAGUAACGUAGCAAGGACCAGUAGGAAAAACUCGUAAGCAUUGGAUCGGUGAUGGAUAAUUAUGCCGGGUGUUAAUCAUCAUGCAACAGUUAUAACACGGAGAGAUAUGUAACUAGCUCCAGUUCGUCAAUGUAAUGUAGGCAUGUAUUCCGUAUGUAGUCAUACGUGCUUAGAGAAAGGAACUUGCAUGACAUCUAUUGUUCAUCCCUCCCGUGGCAGCGGGGUCCUAAUGGAAACUACGGGAUAUUAAGGUUCUCCUUUUAAUAGAGAACCACACCAACGCAUUAACACUUAGUGANACUACAACUUGCAAGAUAGGAUCAAGAACACACAUAUAUUGGCGACAACAUAAUAGGUUCACAUCUGAAAUCAUGGCACUCGGGCCCUAGUGACAAGCAUUAAGCAUGGCAAAGUAGUAGCAACAUCAAUCUCAGAACAUAGUGGAUACUACGGAUCAAACCCCAUCAGAACAAACUCGAUUACAUGAUAGAUCUCAUCCAACUCAUCACCGUCCAGCAAGCCUAUGAUGAGAUUACUCACGAACGGUGAAGAGCAUCAUGGAAUUGGCGAUGAAGGAAGGUUGGUGAUGACGAUGGUGACGAUCUCCCCUCUCCGGAGCCCAGAACGAACUCCAGAUCUACCCUCCAGAGGAAGAACAGGAGGUGGCGGCGCCUCCGUAUCAUAAAACGCGAUGAACUCUUCUCCUUGAUUUUUUUCGGACGAAGGGGGCUAAAUAGAGCUGGAAUUGGAGGUGGUGGAGCUUCGUGGGCCCACAAGCCUGCCAGGCGCGGCGAGGGGGGGCACGCCUGGUAGGCUUGUGGGCUCCAUGCUCCACCCCUCUGGUUGAUUCUUGCGCCAGUAUUUUUUAUAUAUUCCACAAAAAAUCCCCGUAAAUUUCCAGGUCAUUCCGAGAACUUUUAUUUCUACGUAAAAACAACACCAUGGCAAUUCUGCUGAAAACAAUGUUAGUCCGGGUUAGUUCCAUCCAAAUCAUGCAAAUUAGAGUCCAAAACAAGGGCAAAAGAGUUUGGAAAAGUAGAUACGACGGAGACGUAUCAGAUGCCCAUAUUGGAUCCUACAUAUUCUCUGAUGAUCUUAUCGGUUGAACCUCGGUGUCAAGGAUUCAUAUAAUCCUAUAUGUCAUUCCCUUUGUCCUCCGGUAUGUUACUUGCCUGAUAUUGGAUCGUCGGUAUCCGCAUACCUAUUUCAAUCUCGUUACCGGCAACUAUCUUUACUCGUUCUGUAACACAAGAUCCCGUGACUUACACUUAGUCACAUUGCUUGCAAGGCUUGUGUAUGAUGUUGUAUUACCGAGUGGGCCCCGAGAUACCUCUCCGUCACACGAAGUAACAAAUCCCAGUAUUGAUCCAUACUAACUCAAGGACACCUUUGCAGAUACCUGUAGAGCACAUUUAUAGUCACCCAGUUACGUUGUGACGUUUGAUGCACACAAGGUAAUCCUCUGGUGCGAGUGAGUUAUAUGAUCUCAUGGUCAUAGGAAUAAAUACUUGACACGCAGAAAACAAUAGCAAUAAAACAACACGAUCAAUAUGCUACAUUCAUAGUUUGGGUCUAGUCCAUCACAUGAUUCUCCUAAUGAUGUGAUCCAGUUAUCAAGUGACAACACUUGUACAUUAUAUUUACUGUUUCAAGAUAAUCGUUUAUUAUCCAUGCUAUAAUUGUAUUGAAUGAAAGCAUAGAUACAUGUGUGGAUGUAUAGACAAAACAAUGUCCCUAGUAAGCCUCUAGUUGACUAGCCAGUUGAUCAAGGAUGGUUAAGGUUUUCUGACCAUAUGCAAGUGUUGUCACUUGAUAACUCGAUCACAUCAUUAGGAGAAUGAUGUGAUGGACAAGAACCAAACUAUGAACGUAGCAUGUGAUCAUGUCAUUUUGUUGUUGUUGUUUUCUGCGUGUCAAUAUUCAUUCCUAUGACCAUGAGAUCAUGUAACUCACUGACAUCGGAGGAAUACCUUGUGUGUAUCAAACGUCACAACGUUACUGGGUGACUAUAAAGGUGCUCUACAGGUAUCUCCGAAGAUGUCCGUUGAGUUAGCAUGGAUCCAGACUGGGAUUUGUCACUCUGUGUGACGUAGAGGUAUCGCGGGGCCCACUCGGUAAUACAACAUCACAAAUAAGCCUUGCAAGCAAUGUGAAUCACGUGUUAGUCACAUGAUCUUGUAUUACGGAACGAGUAAAGAGACUUGCCGGUAAUGAGAUUGAAAUAGGUAUAGGGAUACCGACGAUCAAAUCUCGGGCAAGUAACAUACCGAAGGACAAAGGGAAUGAUAUACGGGAUUAUAUGAAUCCUUGGCACAGAAGUUCAACCGAUAAGAUCUUCGUAGAAUAUGUAGGAUCCAAUAUAGACAUCCAGGUCCCGUUGUUGGAUAUUGAACGGGGAGUGCCUCACAUCAUGUCUUCAUAGUUCUCGAACCCGCACGGUCUGCAUUCUUAAGGUUCGGUGAUGUUUCAGUAUAGUUGAGUUAUAGGUGUUGGUGACCGAAGGUUGUUCGGAGUCCCAGAUGAUAUCACGGACGUCACGAGGGUUUCCAGAAUGGUCCGGAAACGAAGAUUGAUAUAGGGGAUGGUUUCAUUUGGUCUCCGGAAAGAUUUCGGGCAUUACUGGCAGUGUACCGGGAGUGGCGAAUGGGUUCUGGGUUUUCACCGGGAGGGGCCCACCCACCCGAGAGUGAGCCCAAUAGUCCAAGGGUGGCGCACCAGCCCUUAGUGUGCUGGUGUGGCCAGCCCUAGUGGGCUGUGUCAGCCGGGAAAAAAGAAAACCAAAGAAAAAAAA